AGGCAGAAAAGAGCAGAAGGAAAGAAAGGAAUCAGCAGGGAGUUGCUGUUGCCGCCGCCGCCGCCACCGGAACUUUCCACCACCACCUGCAAAUCAUCACCGAAAGAGCACUGUAAGCUCAAAUUUUCCUUUAAUUUCAGUUUUUCUUUAAGCUCAGAUUCUUGAAGCUCUUAAACACAUUUUUCUUGAAUUUGUCCUUUGCAAUUUUUCUGUUGAUUAUCCGCGAUUUUGUGAAUAUGCAUGCUUUGUGUGUUAAUUGGACUGAAAUCCCUUGUGUUUCUGAGAAAUUUAGAUAACUAUAAUGCAGAUGGAUAAUGAAAUCUGUGGUAUCUAUCACAUAUUUGACAAAAUGCUCAAACGAAGCCCAAAUGAAAAUUUAAACUAAGGGCAUGAAUCUCCUGAAUCUGCGCACAUGGCAAGGAGUUCCUAUUAGUCCAACGCUAAUCGUAGCCUGUGAGUGACCCCAGAAAACCAAGAGGACCGAGGGAAUUGAACUUAAGCGAUUUUUUUUCUGGAUUUUUUCUUUUUCAUUUCUGCUAUUUUCUGCAAUUUUUGUGAGGGUUUAGGGUGUGUAUGGCAUGUUUGUACGUGGAACUGUGAUGGUAUCCAGCUGAGCUAAGCGAACAGGAAGCUUAAACCUAAACUAAAAUGGCAAAAUGAAUGGAACGGUAAUUUGAUAUCAGGAACCAAGCUCGAUAAGGUUUAUAUUGAUAUAUGUGAUAAUGGAGAUUCAGAGGUUGAUGGAAAUAGGAAGAAGGUGAAAAAGAAGGAAAGAAACUUGGGAAAGGGGAAAGAGAAUUGGGAGUAAUGAUCCCAAAUCUUCCAGAUACAAAAUAUUCUUUUGUUGUCCUAUUACAAAGCAAAUCUCCUAUAUAAUCACUAGGCAAUGACAUGAAGACACAUGGCCAUCUCUUAGGAAAACGACAAUAGCCUCCUUCUUCACAUUGGUUGUGCUGAUUUCCAGAGAAGGCGUGAUCCUGCUCCCACGCCUUCUACCGUGACUUCUUCUUUUCCUUUCACAGCUACUUUAUUGGAAACCACACCUUCAGCUCAUUUCUUCGGCUUAAGUCCCUGCUCCAUGACAGUUGCUCCCCCUUCAAUCAAUCUCGUCCUCAAGAUUGAAAAACAGGAAACUCCCUUUCAAUUCCUUCUGCAUCCUCCCAUGUAGCUUCAGCUGGAGAAGUUCCCUAGCAUUGAAUGAGCCAUUGAACAGCUGUAGCAUUCUUUCCUUAACAAUCCUUUGAUCUAAGACAGCUACUGGCUCUACUCGGAAGUGCCCUUUCUCAUCUGUGUUUGGCAGUUGCAGCACUGGGACUAUCUGCUGUCCUACUUUCCUCUUCAGCAAGGAUACAUGGAACACAGGGAGUACCUUGGAUCCUUCUGCCAAUUUUAGUCUGUAGGCUACCUUCCCUAUCCUCUGCAUCACCUGGUAUGGGCCAAAGUACUGAUGUAUUAUAAUUUUGAUAGUGUUGCCAUUGUCUCAAGCAGUAAUUGUAAGAAUUCAUUGGCUGGCAGAAUUUGUGAGUGACCUAUUUUUUUUAUCCUUUUUUAUUACUCAAUUUCAUUUUAGAAUUUUGGGAGAAAAUUGGCGGAAUCACCUGCAAGGAGAAAGUGGGCUGCACAAGAUUCUGGAUAUUACAAUUUUUCUUUUGGCUUUUCUAUCUGGUUACAUCCUAGCAUGUUUCAUAUAUAACUUGUCUGUCUCUUUGAAUUGCAUAUAAACUGGUUAUGAAGUGCCUCAAUGCUUGGUCUAAUCUGACUUUAUGGUCCAUGAUUAUUCAUCUCCAAAUGUUACAUUAAAUUUUUUCUUUGCUACAGUUUUGAGCUAAAGUGUGACAUAUACGCUUUUAUACUUUAUUAUCAAUAUGGUAUAUUGGAACUUAUUUGUGUGAUGUGUCGUAACAUUGUGGAGUCAUUUGUAUCUUGGGAUGGGAAGAAAUCUAUAACUCCUCAAUCAAGUUAGAUUUUGGUCUUGUUGUCUUGGAUUACAGUAGUUGUACUUCCAUAUUUAUGUGAAUAGUUGAUAAAUAGACAAACUUGUCAGAUAGUAUGUCUUCUUGGAAUAUAGCUAUAUGUUGAUCUUGUAGAAUGUGAAAAGCUGUAUGUAUUUUAUGAAACCAGGGACCUAAUUUACUUUAUAAAUUCUUGUUUCCAAAGACUGGUACUGGUGCAUCUGGAAAUUCCCCAUAAAAAAUGUCAACGUUGAAGGAAAUCCUGACCCGUCGGCCAGUGGCAGCGACGAUCCGCUUAACAGUUCCAGCCGGGGGAGCUAGGCCGGCACCUCCAGUGGGGCCUGCGCUGGGUCAAUACAGGCUCAAUCUGAUGGCCUUCUGCAAGGAUUUCAAUGCCAGGACGCAAAAGUACAAGCCUGACACCCCCAUGGCCGUCGUCAUCACUGCCUUCAAGGACAACACCUUCGAGUUCACUGUUAGGUCGCCUUCGGUUACGUGGUACCUAAAGAAGGCGGCGGGGUUGGAGAAGGGGAGCGGGCGCCCCGGUCAUGUGACGGCUUCCUCCUUGACCUUGAAGCACGUGUACGAAAUUGCCAAGGUGAAGCAGCAGGACCCCUAUUGUCAGUAUAUGCCUCUGGAGUCCAUUUGUAAGUCUAUCAUUGGAACUGCUAAUUCCAUGGGGAUUAAAGUCCAGAAGGAGUUUGAUUAGAUUUUUUUUCUUUUUAUUUUUGGUUCUUUUUUGCUGCUGCUGUCUUAGUUUUGUGCCGUUCUGUUGCUGCUUCAUUGUUACCUUUUUUUUUUCUUCCGCUUUCUCUCCCUCUUUCCUUGUGUUUCUUCAACUACUGUGACUAUUUUUUUUCGGUGCAUUUAAGAAUUUGGUGGCUGAGAGAGUACUAUUGGCUGAAAUUAAGUACAGUACUGCCAAUAGUACCAUUUCCGCGGCAAUUUGGUUACGGUGGAUGGAGUGGAAUGUUAGAUUUUACUACUAUAAAAUUUUUCAUGCUCUUUGAUGGAAUGUUUUUAAUUAUUUAUUUUUUCUUUGGGAUGCUCGAGUCUUGAAAUGUCAAGUGCAAUUAUUAGUUUCCAAGUGUGCGUUGCAUUGCGUUGUGGGAGAUUUAAUUUGACGUUGCUUGUGUAAUACCAACCAAUGUAAUGCAGCUUUUGUAGGACUAUUAUUAUAUGGCACAAAUGAACAUUUGCUUGCUUAUAUUAUUAUUAACAAACACACAUCAUAAACUUUUUGUUUCCAAUUUGCAUCACCAAAAGACAGGUCCUAGACCCGUGUUUCAACAACCAAUCUAUUUUGGUAUUACAUGUCCACUAGGUUUUUUUUCUCUAUUACAUAUCUGUGGCGAAAUGCCUUUAUGCUACUAAUAACAAAUUUGGCCCCUUUGUUCAAUUUGGCUUCACAGAAUCUCCUCUCCGCCACCUCAUAAACAGGGUUCAUCAUUACUGGGAAAGUAAAGAAUAGGUUAGUGCACAAACCCAACUGAACAAGGCUGCUCGAUAGUCCCUGCCCAAAAUUGGUCGUGAUUAUAUAUCUUUGGUCUCUUCGUCGAAAACAAAAUACCCCAAAAUUCCAAAUCCUCCAUAAAUUAAGGAGAUGAAAGCCAUUGCCCAGCCUAGGAUUAUCCCAAAUUGUUGUUUCUCCUUCGUCAUUGACUCUAACGGCAAUACCAUUUCGAUCCCUUCAAAAGUAUAAACCGCCACCUAAGCCCAUAAAAAAACACAGUGAAUCUGCCGAAAGCUUCCACGGCAGGCCUGUUUCUAAGAAAAAUCAUAACAUCUUCGACCAUCACCACCCCAUGGCAUCGAUAUCAACUAAGUCAGCAAAUAUGCUCAAGAGGGCCAAAUGGGUUAGCGUGGGAUUUGAGUUCAACCCCAGUUGGAACGGAAAACAACUCCAUAUGUACACAGACUUGGGCACAAAAAUUCCCAAGAUCUUAGGGUUAGGGUUAGCGGGAGCGUAAUUGAAUAUAUAAGCUAAAGCAUUGGCUAUAAAUAUCAAGUAACUUGUGCAAAAACCAGCUUGAGAAAGAACAAUCAUAGCAUCGAUGGCAAACCUGCCGACAAGACCACACACAACAAAUCCAAGAUCACCAAAAGAUGAUCUUUGGAGACUUAAGACUGGAUUCAAGUCUUCUCUGCGUGUGGACUAAGAGCAUCAUACAAUGGUGUUAUGGCAUUGAAUCGAAAAUUGCAGCAAAAGUGACAGAUUACUUGCAGCAGAAGUGAACUAUCUCUUAACAAAUUGAAUGGAACAGGAAAUGGAGAUGAAUAUUUGAACUUUCAACUUCUCAUUAAUAAUUGGUAAAUGUCAAUUACAGAAUCUGAAUCAACGGAUUUAGAAUGAAGGGGAAAGAUUGAAGGAAAUAAAGGGAAAAGAGAGGAGGGAGUUGGCAGAGCCAAAUUCCCUUUACAACCAAUUGGAAAAAUAUGACAAAAGCUUAGCUAUCUCUAGGAUUCUUUCAGCCUUUUAUGGCCAUUUCCGGACUAACUAACUUCUAAACAAGCCAAUAAGGUGAGGUCACGUGGAAUUCUAGAACCAUCAGCUCCACUUGCUCAUAACAGAAGCAUAAUUCUGUUUUGCCAGGUAGAAGGCGUGGUUUUUCAAGUCACGCCUUCUCUUUCCUCAAGUUGAUCGAUCGCGCCUUCAAUGCAAUUUGGAACACGCCUUCUUCCUUCUUCAAGCUGGAUCACGCCUUCCUUGAAAUCUGGAACACGCCUCCCGUUUUUUUUUCUUCUCACUCCAUGACAAAGCUUCCCCCUUUAAAAAUCUUGUCCUCAAGACUGGAAUUGAGGGAACUGCUUCCUAAUUUCUUCUGCAAAUUCCCAUGUUGCUUCUGCUGGAUCCGUUCCCCACCAAUGUAUCAGCCAUUGCACUGCAGCUGCAUUCUUUCUCUUGACUGUUCUUCGGUCCAGCACUGCAACUGGUUCGACCCUUAAGUGCCCCCUCCCAUCCACUUCUGGUAACUGCAAGACAGGUGUGGUCUGGUCCCCAACCUUCUUCUUCAGUAGAGAGACAUGGAAUUCAGGGUGUAUCUUGGAAUCUGUGGGCAAUUUCAGCCUAUAUGCAACCUCCCCAACCUUCCCUAUCACUUCAUAAGGGCCAUAGUAACGUGCUGAUAACUUAGUGUUGCUUCUCCAAGCUACUGAACCUUGCCUGUAAGGUUGUAAUCUCAGGUAUACCCAGUUCCCAAUAUCAAACCUUCUUUCACUCCUUCUUUUGUCAGCAUAUUUUUUCAUCCUCUCCUGAGCCUGCUUCAGGUUCUGUUUCAGUAUGAUGUCAGCUUUGUGCCUCUCCUUCAAGUAGUCCCCAACAACAGCUACCUUAGCCUUAGUAUAUGGCCCCAUACCCAAUUGGGGAGGUGCCUGUCCAUAUAGAGCUUCAAAGGGGGUCAUUUGGAUGGCUGUGUGGUAGCUGGUGUUGUACCACCAUUCUGCCAUGGUCAACCAAUGAUUCCAUUUCUUUGGUUCUAAAUGUGAAAAGCAUCUGAGGUACAUUUCCAGUACCUGAUUGACCCUCUCAGUUUGGCCAUCAGAUUGUAGAUGGUAGGCUGUACUGUGGUCCAGUGUAGCUCCCAGCAGUGUAAACAUUUCACCCCAGAAUUGACUGGUGAAGACCCUGUCCCUGUCUGACAGAAUGCUCUGGGGUAUUCCAUGUAGCUUGACCACUCCAUCUAGGAAAAUCCUGGCAAUCUUUGGGGCAUCAUAAGGGUGUGAGGUGCUCAGAAAAUGGGCAUACUUUGUGUACCUAUCCACCACUACCAUGAUGGUGUCUCUCCCUUCAGAGUUAGGCAAUCCCUCAAUGAAGUCCAUGGUGAUAUGGCUCCAGGGGGACUGUGGAAUUGGCAGGGGUUGUAGGAGCCCUGGAUAGGACACAUGUUCAUCCUUGCACUUCCUACAGACAUCACAUUCCAAGAUUGCUGCCUUAAUGUCUCUGUGCAUGCCUGGCCAGUAAAACAACUGUUUGGCUCUCAUGAAACUUGCCUGGAUACCUGAAUGCCCUCCCAAUUAGGAGUCAUGUAUGGUGCUGAUCAGCUUUUUCCUUAUCUCUCCCCCAGAUCCCACGGCUACCCUCCCCUUAAAUUUCAGUAUACCAUUCUGAUAGCUAAGGUUGGAAAUCAAGUCUGGUUUCAGUAAAAUUUCUCUAAUGCUAUUCUGUGCCCAGUCAUCUCCUUGGUAGCUACUAAUCACCUCUUUGAUCCAUUCUGAAACUAUGGUAGUUAUUGCAGUGCAUUCCAAGGCUGGAUUCCCUCUCCUGGAGAGUCCGUCUGCCACUACGUUCUCCUUGCCUUUCUUGUAGUGGAUCUCAUAACUCAUCCCCAUGAGCUUGGUCAACCAUUUCUGCUGCAGGGGGUGGUGAUCCUUUGUUCCAAAAGGUACUUUAAGCUCUGAUGAUCAGUGUUGAUGAUGAAGUGCUGGCCCUCUAGGUAGUGCCUCCAUUUGGAGACUGCUGUAACAAGUGCCAAUAGCUCCUUCUCAUAGAUAGAUAGCCCCAUGUUCUUAGGCCCCAAGCCCUGACUGAUGUAGGCUAAUGGUCUCCUGUUCUGCAUUAGUACUGCCCCUAUUCCAUUGUAACAAGCAUCAGUUUCAAUCACAAAGGGUAGAUUGAAGUCAGGUAGGGCCAGCACAGGUGUGUCACACAUGGCUCCUUUUAGCUUCUGAAACGCCUCCUCAGCUUCUGUUCCCUAUUGGAAGAUGUCCUUCUUCAGUAGUGCAAUCAAUGGCCUAGCUAUACUGCCAUAGCCCUUAACAAAUCUCCUGUAAUACCCAGUUAAGCCUAGGAAUCCCCUCAACUGUUUUACAUUUUCUGGUCUAGGCCACUUCAUCAUACCCUCAAUCUUCUUAGGAUCAGCUUUCACUCCUUCAGCUGAUAUGAUGUGUCCCAGGUACUCCACCUGUGUCUGAGCAAAGGCACAUUUGCUCCUUUUGGCAUACAAUUGGUGUUCUCUGAGGAUACUCAGAACCUCUGUGACAUGCUCCAGAUGCUCCUGUAAGCUUGAGCUGUAUAUCAGGAUGUCAUCGAAGAAUACCAGCACAAACUUCCUUAGUUGCUUCUGGAAUACAUGGUUCAUCAACCCCUGGAAGGUAGCAGGGGCAUUGGUGAGCCCAAAUUGCAUCACCUUGAACUCAUAGAGCCCUUGAUGAGUUCUAAAUGCAGUUUUGUGAAUAUCUUCUGCCUUUACUCUGAUCUGGAAGUAUCCUGACCUUAAAUCUAUCUUGGUAAAGUAUUUGGACCCAGUCAAUUCAUCCAAAAGUUCAUCAAUAAGGGGUAUUGGGUAUCUGUUCUUGACUGUCAACUUGUUCAAUUGCGUAUAAUCAACACAAAAUCUCCAAGUGUCAUCCUUCUUUUUUACCAGCAGUACAGGGGAUGCAUAGGGACUGUUACUGAGCUGAAUGAUACCAGUUCCUAGCAUUUCCUGCACCAGUCUCUCAACUUUAGUCUUCUGAAUAUAGGGACAUCUGUACAACCUGAUCCGGAAAGGUUUGGCCCCCUCCUUAAGGGUAAUGGAGUGAUCAUGGCUUCUCUCAGGGGGCAGCCCCUGGGGUUCCAUGAAUACUUCCUCAAAAUCCUGUAAUACCUUCUCUAUCUCUGGGGGUAUGUUAACACUAUCUUGUACCUUCUCUUUGACUGCUCUUAGUUGUGCCAUGAUUCCAUAGGCUUGUUUCCUAGCCCAUUUGUGCAGUCUGCUUCCUUUGAUCAACCUUAGCUACACCUGAUCCCUCUCCCCCUUCAGUUCCACCUGCUGUUUCCCUUUCCUGAACUUCACACUUAGUCCCUUGAAAUCAAAUUCCAUGGGACUGAAUCUAGCAAGCCAAUCUACUCCCAGCACCAUAUCACACCCCCCUAACUUUAGUGUGUUAAACUGGUGCUGGAAUUCAUAGCCUUGCAUCUUCCAUACUACAGGCUUAGUUAAGCUGUUGGACUGUACUUUUUCCCCAUUAGCUACCUUAACAACUAGGGAUGGUCCACUACUAUCCAGUUUCAGGUCUCUAGCCAGCUAUUCAUCCAGGAAACAGUGAGUGCUGCCACUGUCAAUCAGUGCAGUGAUAGUUCUCCCUUUUACUAACCCCUUUAGUCUAAUAGUUUUGUGCUCACUGCCCCCUGCUAAAGCAUUGAUGGAAACUUCUAUAUGUUCAUCCCCAAUUCUGCCCUCAAUGCAAUCGCAGAAAACUUCAGAUUCAGCCUUUUUCUCACUCUCAAUAGCUACAGGGUCCUCACUGUCAUCAUGUACUAGCAGAAGAUGGAUAUGGGAUUGCCUACAUAUGUGGCCCAAGUGUGUAUGGCUCAGCACAUUUAUAACAUAGGCCUUUCUCCCUCCUGAGAUUGAACUCACUAGGGGUGAUCUUUUUGAACUGGUUUGUGUUGCUGUUUGGGGUCCUGUAGUUGUCUGUGGGAGGUUUAUCUGAGGUUCUGGAUGUGGUGGGGUUCCAUUUGUUAUGGCUCUAGGGGUGGAAAGGGGUUUUGUGUGUCUGGGAACUGCAAGGUAGGGGUUUGUGAAACUUUUGCAUAGCUUUCAGGUUCUUUUCUUGUAGCUUGGCUGCUUCUACUGUAUCCGCUAGAGUUAGAGGCUUGGCCAUUUUAACCAUAUUGACUAUUUCCUCAUUUAAGCCACUUAGGAAGCAUGCUUUGUAGUAGGAAUCAGCCAAAUGAGGAAGGGAAGGCAUUACCAGUGCUUUGAGCAGCUCGAACUUCUCCAGGUAGUCUGCUAUGGAUCCCUCUUGCCUAAGCCUGUUGAAUUCUUCAAUAGCUUCCUCUGGAGUGCCCUCCCCAAAUCUUUUACACAAAGCAGUAGCCAAUUCAGUCCAUGGAAUGAUUCCCCUGCCACUGAAUACCCCAUGGAACCAGGUAUCUGCUCUAUCCCUCAGGUACAGUUCAGCAAUCUCAGAUUUCAUGUUCUCCUCCACUCCAUUGAUCUUGAAGAACUUGUUAGCCUUGCGGAUCCAUUCCCUUGGAUUAUCUCCUGUGAAGUUAGGCAACUCCACUUUAGGCAUUCUGGUGUAGGAUCUAGUUUCUUUCCAAUCUGAUCUGCCAUAGCCUUCCUCCUGUGUUUCUUCCUUCUUGGGUCCUUCAAUGGAGCUACUACUCUCUGCCUCCUUGUCCUUGUCAUUGAAUCUUGCCAUCAUCUGAGCCAUCAUAGCCAUCAUACUUUCAUAUUUUUGGUCGAGAUUUUUAAGAGUUCUCUCUGUACUUUCUUGUCUAUGCCCCAGAACUUUGACCACACUGCCUAGCUCAGAGAGAUCCUUCUUUAACACCUCCUCUUGAGAUUUUGUCAUCCCAAUGGCUCGUAGCUAAGCUCUGGUACCACUGUUAUGGUAUUGAAUUGAAAAUUGCAGCAAAAGUGACAGAUUACUUGCAGCAGAAGUGAACUAUCUCUUAACAAAUUGAAUGGAACAGGAAAUGGAGAUGAAUAUUUGAACUUUCAACUUCUCAUUAAUAAUUGGUAAAUGUCAAUUACAAAAUCUGAAUCAACGGAUUUAGAAUGAAGAGGAAAGAUUGAAGGAAAUAAAGGGAAAAGAGAGGAGGGAGUUGGCAGAGCCAAAUUCCCUUUACAACCAAUUGGAAAAAUAUGACAAAAGCUUAGCUACCUCUAGGACUCUUUCAGCCUUUUAUGGCCAUUUCAGGACUAACUAACUUCCAAACAAGCCAAUAAGGUGAGGUCACGUGGAAUUCUAGAACCAUCAGCUCCACUUGCUCAUAACAGAAGCAUAAUUCUGUUGUGCCAGGUAGAAGGCGUGGUUUUUCAAGUCACGCCUUCUCUUUCCUCAAGUUGAUCGAUCGCGCCUUCAAUGCAAUCUGGAACACGCCUUCUUCCUUCUUCAAGCUGGAUCACACCUUCCUUGAAAUCUGGAACACGCCUCCUAUUUUUUUUUUCUUCUCACUCCAUGACAAAUGGUCGGUGAGCAAGGCUACCGAGGAGAGCAGAAGGACGCCCAUCGCCCACCCUGUUCUCUUGAAUGUGUAGGGUAGGCCAAGGACGCCUGCUCCUACUAUAGCUAUGAAGACUUAGGGGAACAACUUUUGUCUCUAUCCUCGAUUUUGAAAAGCAAUGUUCGUUAUUUGUAAUUCUUUUAUGUUCAAGUACUUAUUUCUUCUUUGUUAAAUUCUUUUGCAAUUGAUUACUGUUUCUCACUUGUUGAAAUAGUUUGAGAUUGCUUACAUGCUUUCUAGUUUCUUUCAAUCUGUAAUUGUUGUUAGGAAUUAGAACAAGAAUCAAAGUAAAUUAAUUUGAUUGUCCACCCUUUCAAAUUAAUUUACUAUGGAGAAAACAAGAGAAGUUAAAUUAUUUAAUCUUUUGAAUGGUUGCUUGGAUUAAAUUCAUAUUCUCUAUUUUAAUGCUAUUAUUGAGUGAAAGAGAAUUGCUUUUUAUAUUGAAUUCACUUGAUAAUAAAGAUUUGAUUGGAAGAUUUUUCUAGUUAAUUUUACUAUUGAAUGUCUUGGUUUUUGUUAACUUUAAGGAUAAUCUAAUUUUUUGCUUGAAUUGAAAGGAUGAAUUUCGCACUUCAAUAAUAAAAAAAGUCUAUGGAGUGAAUGUUUAACCUUUGAACCGAGUUAUUUUAAAUUGAUUAGUUUCUUUAAUUUUCUUGAAUUUAAUUUUCGUGUAAAAAGAUGCUUGAAUUAAAAGUAUGCAAAACAACUCAAAUAAGUAAAGUGUUAAAUAACCAUGGGUCAUAUCUACAAAUGUUGUUCUUCGCAUCAAAAGACUUUUCCACUAUUUGAUUAAAAUAAAUAUGAAUAAUUCCCUCUUAGUAUUGGAAUUUGAGAAAAAGAUUAUUGUAGGAAUCGGAAAAACCUAUGAAUUGACUAUAUGAGUUGUUUGUUUGUGAAAUUCAAUUAAGGUGAGAGAUUAAAUUUAACUUAUUAAAAUUAGGGUAUAAUUGUCUCUCUUUUACUUGAUAUUAUGAGUAUACAAGGCAAAUUGAAUGAUUUCAUAAUGAUGACUUGCUAAGUUACGAAGGGUUGAAUUUUAAAGUUCCACAUGAUUUAUUUCAAUACUUAAAUCAUCGUUGAUUGGUAUUUCCUAUUGUUUGAGAACAAGUAAUGAUUUAAAUGUAGGGGAAUUUGCUAUGUAUAUUAUUUAUACUAAUUUAAGUAAAUACUCAAGAAUUAAGUAAAAGCAAUACACUACGAAUUAUACUAAUUUAAGCAAGUAAACUGACAAUGGAGAAUUUAGGAGAUGAAUAUCCCAGGGUUACGAAUCUCUUGUUGCUCAAGAGAGAAUAAGGGUGAAAAUCCGGGUGAUUCUCAUGUAUUAGGUCGUGUUUUCUCCCCAGAAAAUUGCACUUGUUCAUUACUUGUCAUUUCCAAGCCAUCUUCGAAUCCGUCAAAUGUUUUGCUUGAAUUCUACUUAAUCUAAAUUGACCAUAAAUCACCAAAAUCCUACAAAUGCAACAAGUUUGCAUAUUAGACUACUAAAAUUCAAGUUUUUGUUAUAAAAAUAGGACUUGUGGAAAUAGUAGCUAAUAGGAGCAAACUUCAUCCUUAAAAACCCUAAAACACACUAAUAAAGCAAGUUUAAAAUGCCGUAGUAAUUAACCAAUUUCUUGUGAAAUUGAUACUAAUUAUCACUAUACUCGUUUGACUCAUAUACUUGUAGAAAAUCGAGGUAAUUGAGCUUAACUAAAUUGGUAAUUGAGAAUUUAUAACUUGGAAACGUGUUAGGUGGUUAAUUGUGCGCUUAAUUUAUGAAUUUUUUUCCCUUGAUUUGGCUAAAAUAUGGUGUUGAUUGCUAGAUUCUACUCAUAUUUAAUUUUUGGUGUUGUCUCUAGGAAUUUGUUGUGAAAAGAGGAUAAAAAAUACAUUAAAGGUCGAAUUUUCAAAAGAUAAUACAUUAGAAGGCAUAACCACGUCUUAACUUCUUGUGAAAUCCAUGCUUACGGGAUUGAAGUGGGCCACCGUUUGAAGCUUUGCUGGUGCAUUGGAAGGCCGUUGGUGUCUUUAGAAACAUAUAAUUUAUUGUUUCUAUCUAGUAGUAUUAGUUGAAUAGGAAUCUUAAUCCUUUCCUUAUUGGAUGUUGGAAAAAACGUAGGUAAUAAGAACUCCAAUUAGUUUUGGGACUCUAGGGGAUCAAGAUUAGGAACGCAAGAAACGAUUCAUGAGCUUUUUCCAUUAUUCCUCUUCCUCUCUUUCUGUCUGAUAAAUCCUAGUAUUUCUUGUGGCCACAAAUCGACCAUGAGGAGUAACUGAACCUUUUCUCUAGUUGAAGGAUAAUUGAAGCUUUGGUUCAACAAUAUUGUGAGAUCUAAUUUGAUUUAUUUGUUUCAUUUAUUUAUAAGUAUUUAUAUAUUUCCUAUUCAUUCAUGAUUAUGAUUAUUUUAUACAAUUAAAUAACUGGCCACUAUUUAAUUGUCGGAAUAAUCUAUUGCCAUCUAAAAUAUCAAAUCCGUAAUUGUUUGGUGGUUUUAGUAUUUGUGGCGAGUAAUGUAAUCUGAUUGUAGUAAAAACUUUCGAAUUUUAUGUUACGAGAAUAUAUAAUCUAGCUUAAAUAAACCAAGCUUGUGUGUUUGUUGGUUAGAAUUAGUAGCUUCUUUAAUUAUCAAUGCUUCAGUAGGUUAAAUCCUAAGAGCUUAUUUAGAAUUGCUUAGUUGACAAGGGAAAUAAUCACAGAACUUGUUGCAGUUAUCGAAAGAGUAAAGAGAGACAUGUUAUCAGAGCACGUUGACAAUCAUAACCAGUUUAUUUAUAAAUAAUUGAUUUUUCCUUUGUAUCGAUGAUUAGUUGAAUGAACCAAAGUGGAUAUUAGACCUUUCACUAGAGAGUUGUCUUUUCUUAGUUUAGUUUUAUUUAAUUUUGUGCUAUUGUUUUUAUUUUUAUUCAAGUGAGUUAUUGAGAUAAAUUCUCUAUAAUCCCCCAUUUUAUUUAUUGUCAUUUUUAUAAGAAAAAUAAAUCACCGAGUUCCUAAGGAUACAACCCUAUUCACCACUACACUCGCAUUCAUAUUUUUAGAAUAGAAUUUUAUUUUUGCUUGUUUGACACCCAACAAAGCCUAAGCCACAUCAACCACUCCAAUUUUUGGCUCCGCUAAUCCAGAUUCAACAACCGACCAAUACUCCUUGGACCUUAAGAAGUUCUCCAUUAAAAUGCUCCAAUGAUUAUAAUGACCAUCAAAGUGGGAAUUGCUAGGUGCACAAAGUUGUCAGUGGCCAUUGUGAUUUACCAUUGCUUUGUUAAAAUUAUCACAACUCACUGUUUGGUUUCACUCAUCAACCUAGCUCUGUUGCCACUGAUACAAGUAUUGAGGAAGAAAAGAUAAAAUAAGAGGAACAAAGAACUGAACUUUAUUACUUCUUCAAAUCUGAUACAACACUCAUAACAUGAAGCUACACCAUUUAAGCUUCACCAUUUAUAGAGCUAAAACAAACAAAAAAAAAAGCUUGAAUCUAGGAAGUGUAGCCACUAACUAUUGAUAAAGUGCUCACACAUGGAGCAGACUCCACUAAACUAGGUAAAAUCAAAUCAAACUAAAAUAGAUUCCUAUUGACAUGGUCAACUAAAAUUAAGUAAAUAUCUCUAACACAAAGAGUUCAUUUACAAAGAUAUAAUCGUUAUUGAGAUCCUAAAUCAUUUCUAGACUUGUUGCAUUUUUUUGACUAGAAUUUGUUCGGCUUUUGAACAUAUAGGUUCUUAGUUGUAGGCAAUAACAAUUCAAAGUUGAAUAGAGAAAAUGAAGAAAAUGAAAUCCAAGUUAGUCAAGAAAUAAGAAUUUUUUUUAUUUUUACUUGAUUAGUACAAUAUCAAUUUCAACUAAAAGAGUCAGUUCAACUCAAAUGAAGAUGCAUUCUGAUACGCCAGUUGAUGCAUGACUUUAUGAUUAAAGACUUGGACUCGGGUCAAAAUGUACAAACAACAACUUAUUAGUAUUUCCAAGAAUCACAUAGCAGUUAGUACUGUGCAAAAUUUCACUUACCACCCUUGAACUAUAUACAAAUUUUUACUUUGAUCCUUAAUUUUUUAAAAAUGGGACAUUUUAGUAUCUAAAGUAUAAAACAUUCCAAUAAAUGGAUUUAUUUGCCAUUGUUUUCAUUUGUUCAAACAAUAUUUGUUAAGUAAGAUAGGUUUCUCUAGUAGGCAUCAAAAUUUUGUUAUCCUCCACUAUUUCUCCUGUUGCACUUACUUUUUUGUUCUUAAUAAAUAGGCAGGGGAAUGUAUAUCUACAAGAAAAUUGAAGAAAAUGUAUUCCAAAUCAGUUAAGAAAUUUUUACAAGGUGUUGGACUUCGUAAUGGACUGAUUAUUACGAUGUCAUAUUUAGCUCUACAUGUUUUAAAAGGCUAAAAAUCACAAGAAGAAAGAAAGGUCAAACACUGAUUAAAAUGUGAAAGAGUCAACACUAAUAACUUGAAGCAUGACUUCAUGAUCGAGCACUUUGUCCUCAAUUGUCCUGUGUGAAUUUUAAAUGCUAUGUGAAUUUCUAAUUAUUUAAAUGCCACAUUUUAGAUAUAUUCAACUACCAAAUAAUGAUAUACCUUAUAUUAAGGUUGUUCAUGCAUAAUCGAAGUAAAGAAAUACGUUUAUUCGACCAAAUCACAAAAAAAAGGAAAGUUUUAAAAAACAAUCAACAGAGAAUAGUUGAUUUGAUUUUAAAAAUGGAGAGAGUGGUAUAAACAGUUGUCUAUGAAUGACGUAAUACUUUUUCGAACAGAUUAUAUUCAUCACAAAUCAUUUGUACAACUUUAUAACAGUCGUAUUAUAAUCUGCUAUUGCUCACGUGAGAUUGUAUGAGAGUCACGUCAGUUAUGUAUCAUAAUUUAGGCCAUACAUUUUCACAAAAUUUGUACUGAUGGCUGAAUCCGGAUUGUAGAUAGUUGGAUAUGGUUGCUCUUGUGAAGUGACACUUGUUAAUUAUGCAAUUCUACCGCCAUGGUCUAUGAAAUAUACAUACUUUAAGCUAUGGAAGUCAUGAAUAUUACAACUUUUACUUGGCAAAUGAUGUUGCCACGGUCCAAAUUUUAUAUCCACAGUAAUUUUGAUUAAAAUGACAAGAAGUACCUAGUCAAGUCCUGUUAGGGCGGUUAUUUAUAUUUAAUCCUUUGAUGAAAACCAUCACCUAUGUAACCCAAGAUCUUAUGGUGAUUAUUAAGAAAUAAAUUAACGAUAAAAUUAUGGAAGCGUACCUGGAUUCAUAUCGACAAACUGGUAUAUGAAUCUCCAAGGGUAUUCGGGUGACCUUCUAGGUCAACACGGAUUCGCCGAUUCUUGAGAGAGCAUUUUAGUAUCUUUCUGGUAUCUCUCCUGACGAUGGGAUAUCAGGAAAGAACUAUAUUUUGUAGUACUAGAAAAUACGAUAAAUAGAAUGAUACGUGUGAUUUGGGGACCAUAACCCUAUUUAUAGGUAACAUUCCUGUUACCUUUUGAAACUCUAUUUUAACUCAUUAUAGAAAUAGGAACUCUUAAAUCUCUACACAUUAAAGGCACACAUUCUAUUAGAUACAUUAAAUUCAAACCAUAUUUGAUCACUUUAAUUGGACUUAACCUUAUUUGACAGUUUGCAAUCCAUAAUUAUUCACAUAUAAGUCCAAAGUUGGAUUAAGGAUCCAACAAUCUCCCACAUUGACUAUAUUGUAACCUUAUAAUUAUGUUCGCAAUUAACCAAAUAAGCUCAACUUUACUGUCAUUGCUAAAAUGUAUCUGUAACCAAUUCGGUUCAUCAAUCACACCAAUAUAGGAUCAAAGCAGCCUUUGUUACAAUUUCGUAACUUGAUCGAUCAAUGGUCACAUAUAUCGAUACAAUUGAAUGACAUGAAUCAUGAUGUGGAUGUGUAGCAUGAAAAUUUCAUGUAAUGUGAUCAAAACAAACCUAUUUCCAACUGAUCUACCUUAAAUUUUAUGAAAUCAAACCAUACCAAAGUCAGAGUGUAAAUAAAUCCAAACUUUAUUUAUGCAUAUAAUAUCCUUAAAUCAUUAAUAAUCGAAAAGUAUCAUAAGAGCAUUUAAAAUAUCAAACUCCCACUAAAACUGUACAUCAUUUAACAACAUGACACUCAUAUAAGCAGUAUGCUUAUGAAACAUUUUGGAUGGCAAUCUCUUAGUAAGCGGAUCCGCAACCAUGGAGUUUGUUCCGAUAUGCUCUAUCAAUAACUGUCAACUCUGUACUCUUUCUUUAACAGCCAGAAACUUGAUAUCUAUAUGUUUAGAUUUCGUCAAGCUCCUAUUAUUAUUGAAAUAUAGGACUGCUGAUUUAUUGUCACAAAAUAAUUUGAAUGGUCUUUCAAUACUAUCCACUACACAUAAUUCUGUGACGAAAUUUCACAGCCAAAUUCCUUGAUUGGAUGCCUCAUAACAAACUAUAAACUCUGCAGCCAUAGUAGAAGAUGCUAUGAGGGACUGUUUAACACUCUUUCAGGAUAUGCCACCUCCAACCAACAAGUAGAUAUAGCUUGAUGUUGAUUUCAUAGUAUCUUGGCGUCCAACAUAAUCGAAAUCAGUAUACCCAAUGAUCUCUAACUCAUUUGACUUCGAAUAUGUGAGUAUGUAAUCUUUUAUUUUCUGUAAAUACCAUAAGACCAGUCUGGUUACUUUCUAAUGAUCUAAUCUAGAAUUGCUUAAAUAUUUACCCAAUAUUCAGUAAUAUAUACUGUGAAAAUCCGUAAAUUUUCGUAUUUUCUAGGGUUUUAUUUUAUUUAAUCCCACGUUUUUCUGUAAUUUCUUUAUUCAAAAAUUUUCUAACUCGUUUUAUGAGUAAAUAGGGUUUUUAAAAUAUUUUUCUAAUAUAAUUGAGUUCAUGAGAUUUUUGGAGCGUAUACCGGGCGUGGGACCCGCUAGUGCGGAAAAUUCGGCCAACUAGGUUAAGUUUAGUAUACCGGGUUUAUUUUAUCAGGUGCUAAGAGAUAAGUAGAGGUUUCCAAAUGGAUUGGUGUGAGAGAGACAAAAGGAUAAGUAUGCAUUAAUAAGGGUGACAAGUGUCACCUUGUGAUGGAAUCUUAAGUUUUGACCACUAUUCAUAACUUUACCAUUUAAUCAAAAUUGGCCAAAAAUCAUCUUCAUUCUUUCCCCUCUUGGCCGAAUUACUCUAGGGAGAAAAGGAAAAAAAUCUUCAACUUUCUUCAUCUCAAAUCUUGCUCAAUCAUCCAAUCUAACCGUUUAAACUUGAGUUUCCUCCAUAAAACCCCUUAGUUUAGUGGUAUUAAGGUUGGUAGUGAAGUGGUUUGGAAGGCUAAGGUACCAAGUUGCUUCUUUUCUUGGGUUUGCAAGGUAAGUGACCAAGGAACCUUUCCUUUAAUCUUGUUAAUGUUCAAUUGAUGGCUUAUGAGAGUUAAAUAGAUGGUUUUAGGUGUUGUUUCAUGCCUUGUGAUGGAAAUUGGUGAAUUUUCAUAUUUAUUCAUGAUUUUCUAUUUUCAUAUGAUUAAUAUUGUGUGGGCAUGGAUGAUGGUCUAGUAUGGGUUAGAAUGAAGCUUUGGUAUGAUAAUUGUAACGAUUAGUGGAAAAUUUCUGGUUUGAAGCAAAAAUUUCCAGAAUUAGGGUUUCUAUUAGGCCUGUUCUGCCCGGUACUGUUAACCCUAGUUAGAGGCCGAAUUGUCCUUAGCACAAAACAUGAAAGUUGUAGAGGAUGAUAUUUUAUAGUUUUCUACAAAAUUUUAGCUCAAUCGGAGCAACAUAGCCUUGAAAAGACCGAAAUACCCCUGCUACCCUGUUUCUAUCCGAACAUGCUAAUUAGCUUCUGUAAUUGGUUGUUGUGACCAAGAAUACUACUGAUUUGGUUGUUAAUGUCUUCUUAAUACUUAAAGCCUUGUAUCUUAGCUUUCAAAUGGCUUUGGAAUCACUUGAAUUGGAGUUGUAUAUGCUGAGAUAUGACUGAAUGAAUCAGGACUGCCACAGUAAACUUCGAAUUGGAAAAUCUGGAGUUGUUUUGGUAAAUUUGACCUAGUUAUGGUGAAAACUGGACUAAAGGGUCUCGUGAAAGUUAUAGCUCUCUGUCUUAGCUUCGAAAUUGUGUAAAUUGCACCCCAAUCCUAUAAGUGUAGCUUCAGUUGUGUCCGUUCCGCUAAAUGACGUCAAAACUGUCUUUUGGUUCUAGGGUUUAUAAUUGGGACUUUUUUAGGGUUUCUUUGUUGAGCUACCAUUUGGUUGUUUUGAAGGGUAUUGUGACUCUAAUUAAAGGUGUUUGAUAAAUUGUGAUUGGGUAUUGAGGUUUGGUUGGAAAAUAAAGAAAGACAAGGGAAAUGCUGUCAAAAUUUUCGUGGAGCUUCUGCACAGUCUCGGAAAAUUUGCUAUAUCUUGAUGUACGAAUGUCGGAAUUGAGUUCCGUUUAUUGCGUUUUAAACUAAAUUCAUAGGGCUAUAAACCGUGUAAAUUUUGGACCUUGUUUAUGUCUGUACCAUUUAUGGUGAUUUUUCAAAGUUGACUGAAAUAUUAUACCUGUUCUGUCUUUCACUGGAUAAAGCAGCAAUUUGAAUCUUGAAUUUGACUAACUUGCGCUCUGAAUCUUAUGAGGAUGUUUUCUGGAAAGUUAUAGCCCUUUGAAUGUAUUUUCUAACGGUUUAACUUUUAUUAAUUUUGGACUUACAAAACUUGAGAUAUGAUUUUUUAUAUAGGGUUGCGCGAAACUGAAAAAUCCUAUUUUUCUAGUAUCGACUUUACUUUCAUUUUCUACUUCAAAUUUGGAGUUGGUCAGUCAGCUUCGAGGUUGUUCAUGCCUUUAAGACUAAUUGUUACCUUUUCACUCCGAGGUCACCUCUUUGCUUUGCAUUAAUGGCUCUUUUGACUAGGCAUAUGGCUCGUAACCGAAUCUCACUUGCGAAUUUCAUACUAGGUCUUGGAGUCGAGUCUUAAGUGUUUGCCUUAAUUGUUUGCCUUAAUUGUUCUAGGAGGUGCCGAUGAUUAAAGCUACACUUGGGAAGGAAACUUUUGAAGUUAUCCUUAUUUGAACUGGUGAGUGUACCAUUCCCUUGCAUUGUUGCUAUUUGAGUUAUCUGUACUUGAAAUCUAUGACAUGAAUGACUAUGAAUCCUGUUUAGUUGAUUGAGACGAGGGUGUACUUUAUCACACUCGUUCUCUUGCCUGUGUUGUACCAACUGAAAUCUAUUACUUGUACUUGUUAUGAACUUGAGCCUGUUACUUGCACUUGUUAUAAUGUCGUUUGGAAGUGUGUCCAACGACCUCCUUGUUAAACCUGAGCUCAACCUCAUGGGGAGUUAAUUUAAUCGAGCCAUGCAAGGGCUUGGUUGAGAAAAUUGACAAUCCGUGGAUGCCUGUUUUUAUGGAAUCUUUGAGUAUUGAGACUCUUGAUUCCGAUAUACUCGAGUAUUAUCAUUCCUAUUCCUGUUUGGCGUUCGGGUCCGGUAAGGGGUAUAUUUGGUGAACGAGGUUUUUUCGUUAAAGUGGUGUUCUACUGGACUGGUUUCUUUAUUGAACGUUGACGGAGGGUCAACGAGACUGGAUCAAGUAUAGCAACGGGAAUUUGGCUCCUGAGAGCCACCUGUAUCCUUUACAUUGUGAUGUUCGUUCAUUUCUCGUAUUUGAUGUGAAUAUGUGCCUCCAAAGUGCUUUCUCAUGAAUUCUACUGAUUCUACUGUUUAUACUGUUGGUACCUCAUUGAGAUUUUAGCUCAACCCGUUCCGUUAUCCUUGUUUUCCUUACAGGAAACCACCUUUUGGAGACUCUGAUAUUUUGAAGCAUGAGUUGAGCUAGUUUUAGUAUUCUUUUGUAUAGCUCUUCGAUGGUUGGAAAACCUUAAAUGUAUUUUAACUAAACAAUUCCCUUUUGAAUUGUAAAUUUGCAACCAUGUGUAUAUAAAAGUGUUUAACCAUGUUCCUAAAUUGAUUGGGUUUGGAAAUGUUCUUUUCUAAGGUUAUCUAAAGUUGUUGUGCUUGUUUGGGUUUCGGAUAGUGAAUGUUAUCUUCUCGAAGUUCUUUUGAACGGUUGAUAGGGUUUACGCUCGUUCCGGAUCCGUAAUCCCGGCGAGAGCUGAGCAGGCGGUCCGCCGAACUCUUUGGUUCGCCUUAGGGGGAGGUGGGGCUGUCACAGUUGGUAUCAGAGUUAGGUUCGCGUGGUCUCUGCGCGGAGUGAGGUUGGGCCAAGUGGUGUUAUGGUCCCGAUUCCGUAAAUGUGUACGAAUGUUUAAGUGCUCUUUUGAGCAUAAGUUUUGGAUCGUGAAAUGUUAUAGGUUUUAAACCUUUAUCAUGGUACUUGGAGACAAUAGAUCUGUAGGUCAGGUAAGAAUCUCAAUUGUAGAUGAAUUACUUUUGGGACUGGCCAGCCCGAGUUGUAAAUUAUCUUAUUUUGGGAUUCUUGUACCCGACUACUAAAUAGACAAGAGCCUAGGUUAGAAAUGACUUGGGCGGACUAGAAAUUUGAUUUUAUGGAACGUCAUGUGAUGUGUUAGGGUUUCAUUACGGAUGAUUAACCUUGUCUAAGAUAUAAAUUGUAUUAUUCUCGUAGAUCGUGCCUGGAACCCUAGAAAGGGAUAACUUUUAGUUGGUUGGUCUUGUACCAUUGGUCUAGUGUGUAAUAUUCAUGAUGGUUCCUUUUGCUUGUAUCUAAUUGAUUGCUAUUGUGUGAUCUGUCUGUGUUAGAUGUGUUAUAUGUAUAUUGCCAACUUUUAUCACUUGCAUCUGCAUACUUUGGUUUUAAUACCGUAUUUGUGGUCCAACUCUAGACUGGUUAAGCCAUAUGAAAGGCACCCGUAGUAGACAUGGUCGUGGUCGUGAAAUUAGGCAACCCACAACUGAAGGUGAUACAAGGGGAACCACGUCUGAACCAAACCCUGAAUCCAGAAUUGAUCCGAACGUACAAGUGGCCGCAGCCAUUCAACGAAUGACUGACCUUUUGGCAUACGUAGUAGAAUAUCAAGGUCAAAAUCCUAUUCAUCAGCCGGAAAAUCCUGGUAAUCAUAUCGAGAGUGAGGAUAAAAUUCUUGAACGAUUUCAGAAGUUCUCGCCACCGAAAUUCCUGGGAGAACCAGACCCUGACGUGGCCGAGAGGUGGUUAGAGAAGAUAAUUGAUAUAUUUGUCACGUUACAUUAUACUGAGGAGCUACAGGUCACAUUUGUUGUCUUCCAACUAGAGGGAGCAGCCUGUUCUUGGUGGAAUAUCAUAAGACUGAAAUGGGAAAGAGAACAAACCCCAAGGACGUGGGUGAAUUUCAUAAGAGAGUUCAACACGAAAUAUUUUCCACCCCUGAUCCAGGAAAAGAAAGAAGAUGAGUUUAUUAGACUCCGUCAGGGAACUCAAACCGUCGCCGAAUAUGAGAGUCAGUUCACCAGAUUGUCCAAGUUCGCUCCCGAACUAAUCGUGACUGAGCAAAGGAGGAUAAGGCGUUUUGUCCAAGGAUUAAACGUUGAAAUCCAGAAAGACCUGGCUGUAGCCCAACUUAAUACCUUUAGUGAUGCGGUAAAGAAAACUCAACGAGUUGAAAGCGCAAGAUUUCAAGUCAGAAACUUUCAAGCUAAGAAAAGGAAAUUUUCUGGAAGUACCUCAGAGCAAGAGGAUGAGGGUACGCCUCCUAAAAUUGGAAGGGAAAACGGGGGAGUACAAUUACCGAGAAUGUCAAGUGGUACCUCACAGAGAGGCUCAAUCUCCGUUUCUCGUGGUCCCUGCGGGUACUGUGGGAAGUCGAAUCACUCGGAGAACGUCUGCUGAAAGAAAGAAAGAAAAUGCCUACGUUGUGGGAGCGCGGACCAUCAAAUCGCAAAUUAUCCAGACCGAUCUCGAGAAGGGAGUAGGAUCCAACAACCAACCACCACCAAUCCUGACCAGUCGAAGGGGGAAAAGAAUGGAUCAAAAGUGUCAGUUGGGGUGUAUUCCUUAGAAUAACAUCAAGUUUCUAACCCAUUUGAGGACGUGGAAGGUAAGAUUCUAGUAUCUCACCGUUUGCCCGCUAGAAUGGUGUAUAAGAAUUGCAAUUUGGCAAGGAAGAAGAAACUAUACCAAAGAAUUCAAUGAAUCAGGUUAGUGAAGGGGUACAGAUUGGUUAGUUAAGGAUGCUACUCAAUUUGACUGUGAGAUAGAUGUAGUAAAAUUUUUGUAUCCCGAAGAAAAUGAUGAUAAGGAAUUUCGAGGACGAAAUUCUUUUAAGGGGAAGAGAGUGUAAGAACCCGUAAAUUUUCGUAUUUUCUAGGGUUUUAUUUUAUUUAAUCGCACGUUUUUCUGUAAUUUCUUUAUUAGAAAAUUUUCUAACUCGUUUUAUGAGUAAAUAGGGUUUUUAAAAUAUUUUUCUAGUAUAAUUGAGUUCAUGAGAUUUUUGAAGCGUAUACCGGGCGUGGGACCCGCUAGUGCGGUAAAUUCUGUCAACUGGGUUAAGUUUAGUAUAUCGGAUUUAUUUUAUCAGGUGUUAAGAGAUAAGUAAAGGUUCUCAAAUGGAUUGGUGUGAGAGAGACAAAAAGAUAAGUAUGCAUUAAUAAGGGUGACAAGUGUCACCUUAUGAUGGAAUCUUAAGUUUUGACCACUAUUCAUAACUUUACCAUUUAAUCAAAAUUAGCCAAAAAUCAUCUUCAUUCUUUCCCCUCUUGGCCGAAUUACUCUAGGGAGAAAAGGAAAAAAAUUUUCAACUUUCUUCAUCUUAAAUCUUGCUCAAUCAUCCAAUCUAACCGUUUAAACUUGAGUUUCCUCCAUAAAACCCCUUAGUUUAGUGGUAUUAAGGUUAGUAGUGAAGUGGUUUGGAAGGCUAAGGUACCAAGUUGCUUCUUUUCUUGGGUUUGCAAGGUAAAUGACCAAGGAACCUUUCCUUUAAUCUUGUUAAUGUUCAAUUGAUGGCUUAUGAGAGUUAAAUAGAUGGUUUUAGGUGUUGUUUCAUGCCUUGUGGUGGAAAUUGGUGAAUUUUCAUAUUUAUUCAUGAUUUUCUGUUUUCAUAUGAUUAAUAUUGUGUGGCAUGGAUGAUGGUCUAGUAUGGAUUAGAAUGAAGCUUUGGUAUGAUAAUUGUAAUGAUUAGUGGAAAAUUUCUGGUUUGAAGCAAAAAUUUCCAGAAUUAGGGUUUCUAUUAGGCCUGUUUUGCCCGGUACUGUUACCCCUAGUUAGAGGCCGAAUUGGCCUUAGCACAAAACAUAAAAGUUGUAGAGGAUGAUGUUUUAUAGUUUUCUACAAAUCUCAGCUCAAUCGAAGUAACAUAGCCUAUGAAAAGACCGAAAUACCCCUGCUGCCCUGUUUCUAUCCGAACAUGCUAAUUAGCUUCUGUAAUUGGUUGUUGUGACCCGGAAUACUACUGAUUUGGUUAUUGAUGUCUUCUUAAGACUUAAAGCCUUGUAUCUUAGCUUUCAAAUGGCUUUGGAAUCACUUGAAUUGGAGUUGUAUAUGCUGAGAUAUGACUGAAUGAAUCAGGACUGCUACAGUAAACUUUGAAUUGGAAAAUCUGGAGUUGUUUGGGUAAAUUUGACCUAGUUAUGGUGAAAACUGGACUGAGUGGUCUCAUGAAAGUUAUAGCUCUCUGUCUUAGCUUUGAAACGGUAUAAAUUGCACCCCAAUCCGGUAAGUGUAGCUCCAGUUGUGUCCGUUCCGCUAAAUGACGUCAAAACUGUCUUUUGGUUCUAGGGUUUAUAAUUGGGACUUUUCUAGGGUUUCUUUGUUGAGCUAUCAUUUGGUUGUUUUGAAGGAUAUUGUGGUUCUAAUUAAAAGUGUUUGAUAAAUUGUGAUUGGGUAUUGAGGUUUGGUUGGAAAGUAAAGAAAGACAAGGAAAAUGCUGUCAAAAUUUUCGCGGAGCUUCUGCACAGUCUCGGGAAAUUUGCUAUAUCUUGAUGUACGAAUGUCGGAAUUGAGUUCCGUUUAUUGCGUUUUAAACUAAAUUCAUAGGGCUAUAAACCGUGUAAAUUUUGGACCAUGUUUAUGUCUGUACCAUUUAUGGUGAUUUUUCAAAGUUGACUGAAAUAUUGUACAUGUUCUGUCUUUCACUGGAUAAAGCUGCAAUUUGAAACUUGAAUUUGACUGACUUGCGUUUUGAAUCUUAUGAGGAUGUUUUCUGAAAAGUUAUAGCCCUUUGAAUGUAUUUUCCAAUAGUAUACUUUUAUUAAUUUUGGACUUACAAAACUUGAGAUAUGAUUUUUCAUAUAGGAUUGCGCGAAAUUGGAAAAUCCUGUUUUCCUAGUAUCGACUUUACUUUCAUUUUCUACUUCAAAUUUGGAGUUGGUCAGUCAGCUUUGAGGUUGUUCAUGCCUUUAAGGCUAAUUGUUAUUUUUUCACUCCGAGGUCACCUCUUUGCUUUGUAUUAAUGGCUCUUUUGACUAGGCAUAUGGCUCGUAAUCGAAUCUCACUUGCGAAUUUCAUACUAGGUCUUGGAGUCGAAUCUUAAGUGUUUGCCUUCAUUGUUCUAGGAGGUGCCAACGAUUAAAGCCACACUUAGGAAGGAAACUUUUGAAAUGAUCCUUAUUUGAACUGGUGAGUAUACCACUCCCUUGCAUUGUUGCUCUUUAAGUUAUCUGUACUUAAAAUCUAUGACAUGAAUGACUAUGAAUCCUGUUUAGUUGAUUGAGAUGAGGGUGUACUUUAUCACACUCGUUCUCUUGCCUGUGUUGUACCAACUGAAAUCUAUUACUUGUACUUGUUAUGAACUUGAGCCUGUUAUUUACACUUGUUAUAAUGUCGUUUGGAAGUGUGUCCAACGACCUCCUUGUUAAACCUGAGUUCAACCUCAUGGGGAGUUAAUUAAAUCAAGCCAUGCAAGGGCUUGGUCGAGGAAAUUGACAAUCUGUGGGUGCCUGUUUUUUUGGAAUCUUUGAGUAUUGAGACUCUUGAUUCCGAUAUACUCGAGUAUUACCAUUCAUGUUCCUGUUUGGCGUUUGGGUCCAGUAAGGGGUAUGUUUGGUGAACGGGGUUUUGGCGUUAAAGUGGUGUUCUACUAGAUUGGUUUCUUUAUUGAACGUUGACGGAGGGUCAACGAGACUGGAUCAAGUAUAGCAACGGGGAUUUGGCUCCUGAGAGCCACCUGUAUCCUUUACAUUGUGAUGUUAAUUCAUUUCUCGUAUUUUAUGUGAAUAUGUGCCUCCAAAGUGCUUUCUCAUAAAUUCUACUGAUUCUACUGUUUAUACUGUUGGUACCUCAUUGACAUUUUAGCUCACCCCGUUCCGUUAUUCUUGUUUUCCUUACAGGAAACUACCUUUUGGAGACUCUGAUAUUUUGAAGCAUGAGUUGAGUUAGUUUUAGUAUUUUUUUGUAUAACUCCUCAGUGGUUGGAAUAUCUUAAAUGUAUUUUAACUAAACAAUUCCCUUUUGAAUUGUAAAUUUGCAACCAUGUGUAUAUAAAAGUGUUUAACCAUGUUCCUAAGUUUAUUGGAUUUGGAAAUGUUCUUUUCUAAGGUUAUCUAAAGUUGUUGUGCUUGUUUGGGUUUCGGAUAGUGAAUAUUAUCUUCUCGAAAUUCUUUUGAGCGGUUGAUAGGAUUUACGCUCGUUCCGGAUCUGUAGUUCCUGCAAGAGUUGGGCAGGCGGUCCGCCGAAUCCUUUGGUUCCCCUUAGGGGGAGGUGGGGCUGUCACAUAGCAAUAUCUGGACGCGUACAUAUUUGAGCAUAUAUUAGACUCCCUACUGUUGACGUAUAAGGAAUCUUUUGCAUGUCUUUUUUCUCAAAAGUAUUCUUAGGACAUUGCUCAAGAUUAAAUUUGUCUCCUUCAACCACGGGAAUGUCACCUGAUUUACAAUUUUGCAUGCCAUACCUUUUAAAAAUCUUUUCAAUAUAGCCUUUUUGUGAUAGAUCUAAAAUAUCCCGAGAUCGACCCCGGUGUGUUUGUAUGCCUAACACAAAAGAUGCAUCACUAAGAUCUUUCAUUUCAAAAUUCUUAGUCAGAAAUUUCUUGAUUUCAUGUAAUAGACCAAUAUCGUUGCUGGCAAACAAAAUGUCAUCAACGUAAAACACCAGAAAAAUAUAUUUGCUCUCACAGAACUUAUGGUAUAUCAAUCAUCUACCAAAUUCAUCUAAAAAUCAAAUGAGAUGAUCAUUUAAUGAAAUUUGAAAUACCAUUGUCGAGACGCUUGUUUGAAUCCAUAGAUGAAUUUUUUAAAUUUGUAAAUCAUAUUUUUUGGAUCUCAUGAUACAAUAUUUUUUGGUUGCAACAUAUAAAUUGUCUCAUCAAUAUUACCAUUAAAAAACGCUGUCUUUACAUUCAUCUGAUGUAACUUAAAAUCGAAAUGCGCCACUAAUGCCAUGAUAAAUUUAAAAGAGUCCUUUGAAGAGACCAGAGAGAAAGUUUCUUUAUAGUCGAUACCUUCUUUUUGUGUAAGUCCCUUAACGACAAGACGAACUUUGUAUCUUUUCACAUUGCCUUUCGAAUCCCUUUUGAUCUUAAAUAUCCAUUUACAACUAAUGGGUUUCGUUCCUUCUGGCAAUGGGACAAGAUCCCAAACAUCAUUGUCUUUCAUGGAUUUAAUCUCCUCAUUCAUGGCAUUGAUUCACUUUUGAGAAUUUGAACUUUCCAUGGUUUGACGGAAGUUGAUUGGAUAAUUUUCCAUUAAUCCAAAGUCAUCCUCAUGUUCUUGGAGAAAAUUAAUAUAAUCAUCUGGCACUACACUUCUCCUUUCUCUAGUGAAUCUUCUUAAUGACACUGGUUCUUGGAGAGGAAGAGUUUGUUCUUUUAUAACAUUUUAUUUUUCGACAUUGUUUUGAUUUGUCAUGUCAUGAUCAAAUUCGAGAAUAGGAUCCUGAACAAGAUCAAUGAUACCUGUGGGAAUAUUAAUAUAUUUCUUUUUAAAAACAAUGCCCUUUACUGUAUUUUCUCUCCCAAACUCGACAUCCUCAAAGAAUUUGGCAUUUCCUAUCUCAAAAAUUGAUUUAGUUGUGAAAUUAUAAAACUUGUAGCCUCUAAAUCUUUCAGAAUAUCCAAUAAAAUAACAACUAUUCGUUCUUGAGUCCAAUUUCUUUUCAUUUGGCCUAUAAGGUCUUGCCUCAAUUGGACAUCCCUAAAUAUGUAAAUGCUUUAAACUGGAUUUUUUCGUUAUCCAAAACUCAUAAGGGGUUUUGAUAGUUGCUUGAGUUAAAACUCUAUUAAAGAUAUAUACUACAGUCUUAAGUGUUUCUCCCCAGAGUAAUUCUAGUAAGGUAGAAUGACAUAUCAUACUCCUUACCAUAUUUUUAAGCAUUCUAUUUCGUCUUUCAGUCACACCAUUUAUAGUAGGUGAACCCGGCAUAGUGUAUUGUAGGACGAUACCGCAUUCCUCCAGGUAUUUAGCAAAUGGUCCUGGACGUUGUUCACCGGAACCGUCAUAUCUACUAUAGUACUCACCACUACGGUCAGAUCUAACGUUUUGAAUUUUUUGUUGAGUUGAUUCUCAACUUCAGCCUUAAAAUUUUUGAACAUGUCUAGUGACUGUGACUUUUCUGAAAUGGGAUAUAUGUAGCCAUAUCUUGAAAAUCAUUUAUGAACGUUAUAAAAUAUUAUUGACAAUUCCAAACAGAUGUUGAAAAUGAUCCACAAAUAUCUAUAUGUAUAAGUUCUAAGACGUCUAAGGAUCUAUUGGUUUCAAAUUUCUUUUUAUUGGUUUGUUUUCCCUUUAUACAAUUGAUACAAUUAUCAAGAUCUAUAAAAUUUAAGGGGUCGAGAAUUUCAUUUGACACAAGCCUUUCUAUUUCCGUUUGGAAAUAUGUCCCAAUCUCUUGUAUCAUAAUGCAGCUAAAUUCUCAUUGAUUAAUUUUCUCUUUACUCCUCUAGUACUCAAAUGCAGAGAUUCAUUAAAUGAGACAAUUCUAUCAAUUAAAUAUAGAUUAUCGUAGUGCAUUAAAGAACCAGAACCAACAAAUUUUGAAUCAUGAAACAAUUCAAAUUUUUCAUUUUCAAAUGAACAAAAAUAAUCAAAUUUGUCCAAAAACAGAAACAGAAAUUAAAUUCCGUUGAAAAGACGAUACAACAAAUGUUUCAUUAAGAUCUAAAUAAAAUCUGAUCUUUAAUAAUAAUCUAAAAACUUCAAUUGUCUCCACUUGAACUAUUUUGCUAUCGCCUAUGUAGAUAUGUCGUUCAUUAUUAUUAGAUUUUCGGCAAUUCAGGCAAUCCUGCAUAGACACACCGAUAUGAGUUGUUGCACCAGAAUCUAACUACUAUGUGUGUCUAGGUACCGAAGUUAAAUUAACCUCAGAACAAACCAAAUUAAGAAGCAUACUUUUCUUAGCAUGCCAAGCAUGAUAGUUGGUACAAUGCUUCAUUUUAUGCCCUUCAGCUCCACAGAAAAAAACCAACUAUUCUUUUUCUGAUCAUCUGAUUUUUUUUGUUGUUUCUUUUGUGGUGCUGUACGUGCAGAUCCUUUUUCUUUCUUUCUCUUAAGUCCCUUACUUUUAUUAUUAGUGGUUGAUAUCAGAUGAGCACUUUCUGUCUGAUCUUGUUUCAACCUUUUCUCUUCCUCUACACAGUAUGAGAUAAAUUCAUUUAUAAACCAAGUCUCCUUUUAACAGUUGUAACUCACCUUAAACUGGCUAAACUGUGUAGGAAGAGAUAUUAAAAUCAAAUGCACUAGUAACUCUUCAGAGAGUGUCAAUUUAAGUGCAUUUAAUUUUGAAACAAGAUGAGACAUUUUCAUAAUGUACUCUCUGAUAUUGCCUUUACUACUAUAUUUCAUUGAAAUUAGGCGUGUCAAGAACGUACUGAUUUCAAUCUUUUUGUUCUUAACAAACCUUUUUUCAAUGUCCUAAAGGAAAUCUUUAGCGGUUACUUUUGUUUCUGACAUUGUUCCUCUGAAUACUUUUGGAACGGCCUUCUUAAUGAUCAUCAGACACAAAUGAUUUGAUCUUUUUCACCUUUUCUUAUCCCUCUUUUCAUCAGAGGUACUCUGAUCUGUAAGAGGUGGGGGAGGAUCAUCCCUUAACGCAAGGUUGAGAUCUAUUAUUCCAAAUACUAUUAAAAGAUUUUCUUUCUAGAACUUAAAGUUUGUACCAUUCAACAUAGGAAUAUUAUUGAUGUUAGUAGUAAUAUUCGUAAGAUCAUUUGUAACUGAACAGAAAACAUAAUAUAAUUAAAACAAACUCACAUAAACCAAAAUAAUAAGAAAUUCAAAUAAUGGUAGUCCCAUCUCAAGAUACCGAUACUCUAUUAAUAUUUUGUCUUUGGACAAAAAUAUUAACUUCUAAAUGAUAUCUUGGUGCAGUAAUAAAUACUGAUAAUAAUAAUAUGUCAAAAAAUAAAUUUUUCUUUGGGCCAAUUUAUAAUUUAUAUGUAAAAAUCGAAUAAUUACAUGUUUAUUGCCACAAGUGCACAUGUAACUUUAUUAAAUAUUGAUCUUCCUUUGGGCCGAUCAAUAUUCAUAAAAUCACAAGUACUCAACUAGAUAUAUUUUAAAAUAAAUUAAUUUUCACAAUAGAGAUCACUUUGGUGGUAUAUUAUUUCAAUUAAUUUAUUCCAAAAUACAUAUAAUCAUACCAUUAUUCAAUUUUAAAAUUAUACAAAUUAAACAAAAAUUUUGAUCAAAGUCAACUUUGGUCAACUCUGGUCAAACCUAGUCAAUCCAGUCAAAUCUGGUUAAACCAGUCAUUGAAUCAAGACUUAUUGGACCAAAGGUCCAUAUCUAUAAUUUGAUCCAAAUUUAUCAUGCAAGUCUAAAAAUUUCUUGAAAUCUAUAAUGUCUUAUAAAACUAUAUAUUUAGUAGGCCAAACAUAUAGACUUUAUAGGACUUGAAUGUUUUAUUUAACUUUAUUAGGACUUAUUCAAAUUAAAGAAACCAUAUUUUGCCUAACACAAAUAUAUUAAAAAACAAUUUGCAUAACAGUGAAUCGGCCAAGUAAAGAAAAACAUCAAAGCAAACAACCAUGGUUUGACUAUUAUGGGACUGACCGAAAGCACAACCAUAAGGAACCACACAAGAUAACUAUUUGGUUAUCGUGGGAUCCACUGAAUUCAAUAAUGCGAGUUGACCAAAGGUAUAAGGAUAACAUUGAAACAAGAAUGCACGCCAUCGGAAGUUAUCGCUAAAGUUUGCCACUGUGGAGCCCACUUGAAGGUCAUAACAAUAGUCCUUUGUCAAUAGUCUUUUGUUUUCAUGGUCCAGGAUUCAUGUUGAAUCAAUAGAAUCAAAGUGGGACCAUCUAAUUUAAUGUUAACCAAACAAUGAAUCGUGCAAUUCAUGAAUUACCUACUGUUAUGAAAACUUGAUUAUAACAUAUGCAAACAAUCAGGAUGCCGAAAACCCAAAAGCCGAAACACAAAGCAAUAAAUUGUGAACGAAAAAGUCAACAAUUAUAAUUUCAACAAGUAUCUCGUUGGCCAAUUCUUCACAAAUAUCAUACAUAAUUAUUCUUAAACACAAAAAUUACUAAAUCCAAAUUAUUUUCUAAUAAUUAACCAUAUGGGCUCUGAUACCACUUGUUAGGGCGGUUAUUUAUAUUUAACCCUUUGGUGAAAACCAUCACCUAUGUAACUCAAGAUCUUAUGACGAUUAUUAAGAAAUAAAUUAACGAUAAAAUUAUGAAAUUUUACCUGAAUUCAUAUCGACAAACUGAUAUAUGAAUCUCCAAGGGUAUUGGGGUGGUCUUCCAGAUCAACACGUAUUCGCCGAUUCUUGAGAGAACCCUUUAGUAUCUCUCUGGUAUCUUUCCUGACGAUGGGAUAUCAAGAAAGAGUUAUAUUUUGUGGUACUAAAAAAUACGACAAAUAGAAUGAUACGUGUGACUUGGGAACCAUAAUCUUAUUUAUAGGUAACAUUCCUGUUAUCUUUUGGAACCCUAUUUUAGCCCAUCAUUGAAAUAGGAGCCUUUAAAUCUCAUACAUUAAAAACCCACAUCGUAUUAGAUACAUUAAGUUCAAACCAUAUUUAAUCACUUUAAUUAGAUUUCACCUUAUUUGACAGUUUGCAACCCAUAAUGAUUCACAUAUAAACCAUAUUGGAUAUGAUUGCUCUUGUGAAGUGACACUUGCUAAUUUUUCAAUUCUACGACCAAGGUCUAUGAAAUAUACACACUUUAAGCUAUACAAGUCAUGAAUAUUACAACUUUUACUUGGCAAAUGAUGUUGCCAGAGUCCAAAUUUUAUAUCCACAGUAAUUUUGAUUAAAAUGACAAGAAGUACCUAGUCAAGUCCAACUUGCAUUUUGGCUUAAGAGCAAAUUUGAGCAUUUAAUACAAGAAUAACUAUGGAACAAAAUUUGAGCUAUAGCAUUAGCAGAACCAUUUGUAGAAGUUUUGCUAUAAAAAGGAAGACUAAUGCUAGCUUAAGCAUUUAAGUAGGAAGCAUGACAGAAAAGAAUAUGAGCUCUUCUCCAUCUUAUGCAAGGUUAGCCAGCUACAAUGAUGGAGAGGCAAGGGGCUUUCCUCGCAAAGGUUAUGUACCUGUGCUAGUGGGAGUUGACAAUGAAGAUAUGGAGAAGCUUUGCAUACCUGUAAAGCUCAUCAAACACCCUUGUCUUGUUUUUUUACUUGAUGAUUAUGUGUGAGAUUUUGGGCAUAAUCAGCAAGGAUUGCUGAGAGUGUCAUAUAAUGCUGACAAAUUCAAAGAAUUGCUGAAAAGUCUAUCAAAAAGGAACCAGCUUUGUUACACAUGUAUUAUGGGUUUUCUUUCUCAUAAGGGUAUUAGGGUAUGAAAUUUAUGUUUUUUGCAAGAAUUAUGGAGUUUUAAGCAGAUUAAUCUAUAUUCUUGUCUAAAGUAUUUCUGGUACAAACUUGAUGAAUGCCAGCAAAUAGAUGUUCUGAACCUAGUAUAGGGAAAGUAACAGGGGGAAUAUUUGAUGUAUAGCAGAUUGAAUUGUGUCUCCAUUUCAUUGAGCCUCAUUUGCUGAAGGAUACACAUUAAGGGAGCUAGUAAGUCAUUUUUUAUUCACUUCUUCAAUUGCAACUAUAUUCAUUUUCCAAAGAAAAAGGGAGAGUGAUUAAUCCAAAUCUAGAACUAGGAGAUACAAAGUAAUUUUUCAAUUGUGGAGUCGAGUUUGGGCAAAUCACUGUAAUGAGAGUUGGAAAGGAAAAGAGAGAGAGAAGAAGAAACUGAGAUUUUAUUCCAAAUGCCAAAAGUCCCCUUCUCCUCCGGAUCCUCAUGCUUAUAUACAACUCAGAUAAUAUCUAGCUGCAUGCAAAUGAUGCCUUGGCUGCAUGCUGACUCAGCAAUAACAGACUAACAAACCAACUACAAGAAUAUUCUCUAUAACUAACUCAACGAACUGCAUGGAUUGCAUUUCAUUUUCUAAUGGCUGAGCUAGCUAGUCAUUACAUUUCUCCCCGCUUAACCAAAUCCUAGUCUAUAGCAUUGAAGGGGAAAAUUUGGGAACUGAGACCUGAUGACCGCUGCAUCUUCCCAAGUUGCAUCAUCCUGGCUCAGGUUUUCCCACAAGAUCAACACCUGCUCCGCAGCCUGACCUCUCCUCCUUUUAGUCCUCCUCUCCAGCACAGCUUGGGGUGCUACUCGAACCUCUCCUUGUUCAUUUAGUGUGGGUAAAGAAUACUGGAUUGGUUCCCCCUUAGUAGAGGGCUUCAGCCAGAGACGUGGAACACAGGGUGGAUGGCUGAACUUGAUGGCAGCUCUAGUUUGUAGGCCACUGGUCCUAUCUUCUGCAACACCUUGAAAGGUCCAUAAUACUUAGCAGACAGCUUUAGUUUCCUCCUCAGGGCCACAGUAGUCUGCCUAUAUGGUUGUAACUUGAGAUAGACUAAGUCUCCCACCUCAAAGCUUCUAUCAGACCUGAGCCUAUCAGCAUUCUGUUUCAUCCUAUUUUGUGCCUUCAGCAGAUUAUCCCUAAGCAUCAAAUUCCAGUUCACUCUUUCUGACAUCCAAUCAUCCACUACUGCUACCAACGAUGCGCAUGGGAUGAUGUUGAGUUGUGUAGGGCUAUAGCCAUAAAGAGCUUGAAAUGGAGACAUCUGCAAUGCAGUGUGGAAAUUGGUGUUAUACCACCACUCUACUGCUGCUAGUAAUCUUUUCCAUUUGCGAGGUUGUUCAGAGAACAUGUACCUUAGAUAUGUCUCUACACACCUAUUCACCAAUAGAGAAAUUCAACUGAGUCCCUAACCUUGAGAAUAGCUCCUGCCAAAAUAUGCUAGUAAAUGUCCUAUCUCUAUCUAACACAAUGCUAGAGGGUAAGCCAUGCAGUCUGAAUAUCUGAUCAAAGAACACUUGUGCUACACUCGUAGCAGUAUAAUGGCUUGUUAUAGGAAUGAAAUGUGCAAAUUCUGUGAACCUGUCAACCACUACAAACAAUGUAUCAUACCCCUCAGAUUUAGGGAGCCCUUCAAUGAAGUCCAUAGAUAUGUUCUGCCAAGCUUGUUCUGGUACGGGUAGGGGCUGCAACAGCCCAGGGGACUUACAAUUCUCUCCCUUAUUCCUCUUACAUAUGUCACAGCUCUGUACAAAGUCUUCUACCUCCUUUUUCAUGCCCGGCCAAAAAGAAAUAUGCCUUAACUCUCUUGUAGGUACCCAGAUUUCCUAAGUGUCCUCUAACUGCUGACAUGUGCAUGCAAGCAAUGAGUUGUUGCCUAAGUGAAGUAGAGGCUCCUACAUACACCCUCUCCUUGUACCUGAUGACCCCACCAUUGUAGGAAUAUUCAGGCAUUUCUGUGCCAUUGAUGGCUAACGCAGUGAGCAACUCCUUAGCUUGAGGAUCCUGCUCAUAGCUUUCAGCUAAGUCAGUGAUCCAUGUUGGCUUUACCAUGAAAAUGGCACUGAGCUCGUGAGUGUCCUUCCCCCUCCGAAAGAGUGCAUCUGCCACUAUAUUCUCUCUUCCCCUCUUAAACUGAAUUUCAUAAUCAUAUCCCAUCAGUUUAGUCAACCAUUUCUGCUGCAGUGGAGUCCAAAUCUUCUACUCCAGUAAGUAUUUUGGGCUGUGAUGAUCAGUCCUAAUGAUGAAAUGAGACCCCAAUAAGUAAUGCCUCCAUUUGUUAACAGCAGCAGUCAAGGCUAGUAACUCCUUUUCAUAGAUAGAUAAAGCCUGAUUUUUUGCACCUAAUGCCUAACUCAUAUAAGCAAGGGCUAUCCUUGCUACAUAAUGACAGCCCCAAUAGCUUGAUUGCUGGCAUCUGUCUCCAACACAAAAGGUUUUGAGAAGUCUGGCAAUGCUAGUACAGGUGUGUUACUCAUAGCCUGUUUGAGUUCACGAAAUGUAGCACUAGCAUCCUUAUUUCAAACAAAACCAUCCUUCUUUAAAAGAUUAGUGAGGGGCUUGACUAUGGAUCCAUAGUUCUUGACAAACCUUUUGUAAUAUCCAAUCAAGCCCAAGAACCCCCUUAAGGCCUUGACGUCAGUCGGUUCUGGCCAAUUCACCAUACACUCUACUUUGGAAGGAUCAGCACUCACUCUUUCAUUAGUAACCACAUGCCCCAAAUAUUCUAUCUGAUUUUGUCCAAAAGAACAUUUAGUGAGCUUAGCAAAAAGGGUAUGGGAUCUUAAGGUCUUCAAAACCUGUCUAAGGUGGAGGAUAUGAGAGUCCAUAUCCAGACUAUAUACCAGAAUAUCGUCAAAGAAGACUAAGACAAAUUUUUUGAGGAAAGGUUCAAAUACUGAGUUCAUGAGAGCCUGAAAUGUAGUUGGAGCAUUGGUAAGCCCAAAAGGCAUGAAUAAAAAUUCAUAGAGCUCACAAUGAGUUAUGAAAGCUGUCGUAGGAAUGUCCAAAGGGUUCAUGCAAAUCUGGUGGUAACCAGAUCUCAGAUCAAGUUUGGAAAAGAGUUUAGCUCCAUGAAGUUCAUCUAGAACAUCAUCUAUAAUGGGAAUUGAAAAUUUAUCUUUAAUGGUUAGGGAGUUAAGUUACCUGUAGUCUAUGCAAAAUCUCCAGCUACCAUCUUUCUUUUUAACCAGUAGGACAGGUGAAGCAAAGGAACUGUGACUAGGUUGGAUGAUGCCACUGUGCAGCAUCUCCUUGACUUGUUUUUCUAUCUCAGUUUUCUGGACAUGGGAAUAUUUAUAAGGGGCUAAUUUGAAUGGUUUUGCAUCAACUUUCAAGGGAAUUUGAUGGUCAAAUGAUCUCGUUAGGGGUAAUUGUUUAGGCUCACUGAACACAUCCUGGAACUCAAUCAACAAAGGUUCUAGAAUAUUUGGAGUGGUGUUUACCUGUCACUGAGCUGUACUGAUCGUGCAGGCCUGCACAGCUUGCUUGAGUUUCUUCCUCGUGUAUCUUUUGGCCACCUCUCCUUUAGUCAUCCUGGUGUUAGCAGUACCUUUAUCCCCUCGCAGUGUUACCCUGUCAUCAUCCUUACUAAAAGAGACCUGCAGUUCCUUAAAAUCAAAUGUUAGAGGGCUAUAGGCUUUCAUCCAGUCCACCCCUAUGAUCAAAUCAGGGCUCUAAAUCCAAUAGGUACACACCGUGGCAAAAUUUCUGUCCUUGCAUGCUCCAUUGGAAAUUGGGUAUCCACUGACUGCAACAAAGUUCCUGACCAUCAGCAAUUCUGACUUUGAAAGUUUGUGUUGCCUAAUAAGCUCCUGCCACCUCUGUGCAACUGACUUCUUAAGGAAACAAUUAGAACUGCCUCCAUCUAAUAGGAUAGAAAUUUCAGAGUCUCUAACCUUCCCUAACAACUUAAUGGUGCUAGAGAGCAGAUUCCCUGUGAGUGAGUGUAAGGAUAAUUCUACCUCAUGUUUGUUCCCACUGCCUAUGUAUUCUAUCACCUCUUCCUCAUCUACCCUGUCCUUUAGAUCAGUAGCAAUAAUCAUGUGUACCUCCCUGUCCUUACACAUAUGACCUGACCCAAACUUUGCUCCACAUUUAAAGUACAAAUUGUUGUCCUUCCUAUAUUGAAACUCAGCAGGGGUGAUUCUCUUGUAUGGUUGAGUCCUAUUACCUUGCUUCCCAGAAUCUCCCUCACUGACUGUUGCUGCCUUGACCAUAGGUGGUCUGUGUGUAGACAUUCCUCCACUGGAACUCAUUUGUGUAGGAGGGAAGAGCCUGCUAGAUGUCUUGCUCUUCUUGAAAAUCACCUCCAGUGCCUUUUCCUGCCAUCUUGCAACCUCAAAGGCUUCUUGUAGGGUCUGAGGUUUGUGCAUUUUGACUAGUGCCUUGAGCUCCUCCUGCAAUCCACUCAAAUAGCUGGAAACAAAAUAACUCACACUCAACCCCGGAUUCUUGAGCAGUACUAUGGCUCUCAACUCCUCAAACUUCUCCUGAUACGCCAUUACUGUGGAAGAUUGCUGUAGUUUGUUGAAUUCCUCGACUCCAUCCUUAUCCCUUAGGUCCCCAAAUCUGCGACUCACUCCCCCCUUGAACUCUUCCCAUCCAAAUGUCUUCUUAUCUUGUUUGAAACUUUGGAACCAGACAUUUGCCCUCCCUUCCAAGUGCAUUUCUGCAAUCAGCAUCUUCUGCGAAUCCAAUAUGCCAUACAGAUGGAAGAAAGUCUUGCAUUUCUGAAUCUAACGCCUCACUUGCUCUCCUGCUGUAAGGAUCAAAGACAACCAAGUGAAAGAGAUAAGCAGUGUAAAUAUCACAAACGUAACAAUAAAUAAAUAAAAAGAAAAGAAUUGCAAACCAAUUAACUAUCCAACUCCUCUUGAGCUUGUAGAUUAAUUCAAAUAAGUUUCUUCAAAUUGAUGAAUUACAAUCACUCAUGCGUACAAAGGAAGGUUCACUUCCUCCUUGCCCCGAACACCACUCGGUCAAAUCAGGAAGUUUUACUAUCCCUCAAUACAACCCUCACAGAGCUACACUCAUGAAAUAUUCACUCCCAAAUUAAAAAUUUACAAUGAAUCUCACACCACUAAGACUACAAAUCUUCUUUGAAGAGUAUUUUCUCACUAAAAUCACUCUAGAUCUUUUGUAUUUUCAGUGUGCAAAAGUUGUUUAAAAUAUCUGACCACCCACUAUAUAUAUAGGAUCAAGAAAGUGCCUCAUUAAUGUUUUCAACGGAUAGAAAGUAGAUGAAGAGUUAACUAGCCGUUGGAGUGUCGGACGUCCGAUAGUCCUGUUUUUUGCGUCCGACAGUAGGCAGUGAGUUUAAGAGAUUUUCUUCAAUUCUUUCGAAUGUCCAAUGCAAGCUCUUUGUGCGUCAAACAGCAAACAAAGAGAUUUGAGAAAUCAUCUUGUUUCUAUCGGACGUCCAGUGGAGACAUAUUCAGCGUCCGAUGGUUUCGUCGAUUUUGAAGGAUCCUAUCGGACGUCCGAUACUAGCGUCCGAUCGAGGUCAGUGAUCCAGGGGAAAAGUCUUAUUUCCUUCGGGGUGGAGUUCUUCAUGCGUCCGAAAUUACGCAAUGAUUAUCGGACGUUCGAUCCAAGCAUUCGACAGCUUUCAGCAAUCUUUGUCCCUUUCAAUUGCACUUGAUCUUUGAAUCUGAUUUACUUUACAACUGAAAAUAUUUUUUGAAGAGAUAUUAGUAUUAUCCAUUGUUUUGUAAAUAUCAAAAGUUAGGGACCAAGGUCAACAUUCUCCCCCUUUUUGAUAAUGACAAAAUAAUAGAUGGAAGAAGAAAAAAGAUUGAGCAUAUGAGUAUAAGCUCCCCCUUACUCAUUGCAUCCAAAUUUAUAAUUUCAGAAUAACUUCUCCUAACACAUAGCAUCCAUUUCUCCCCCUUUUUGUCAUCAUAAGAUGAGAGUAAAAAUCAUCUAUCAAAAUUCAGCAACAAUAACAGAGAAUCCAAUAUUCCAAAUAAAAACAAAGAAAUAAUAGCAAUUACCAACAUACCAUAGCAAAUCAUCAUGAGAUCAGCAUUAUUCUUUUUUUCUCCCUUUUUGUUAACAUACAAAUUCAGUCAAAAAUCAAGAAAAACUCAUAUCAAAGCAUCAAAACAUCAAAAGAGAAUUACAAAAAAAAUAUUAUGAACAAGAAUCUCAUCAAUCUUACCAAUAUCUGCUACUUGUUAGAAUUAGUAUCAUGUCUAACUAUCCACAUGCAUUUCAUGCCUUUUUUCAUAUUUUUUCUCACAUAGCAAUCACUUUUCAUGUGACCUUUUUGACAACAGAAAUUACAUAUAAUCAAAGAGUUAUUUAUAUGAAUAGGUUUAAUAAAUCUUACUUAUCUUCUCUUAUAAAUAGAAAAUUCGUUGGAAUUAGAAUUCAAUCUAUUCUUUUGAAAACAAACUUGUUUCUUGUGUUUAAGCAACUCAUUUAAACCAUUCAUUUUUCUUUUCAAAUCACCUUGUUCCUUUUUGAACAAUUCACAAAUCUUUGUUUUUCUAUCAAGUUCCAUGUGUAAAGCAGUCUCACUAUUUUUGAAGUAAUCAUUUUCAGCUUUCAACUUUUUAUUUUGUUGAAAAAGAUUUGUGUUGUCUUGAAAAAGAAAACUAAUUUUAUGUUUUAAUUCCUUGUUUCUAGCAUAAUAUUCUUUCAAACUAUCAUGCAAUUUUAUAAUGAAAGAUUCAAAAUCAUCAUCAGUUUCAUCAUCACUUUCAAAUUGAGAGUUAGAAGAUGUUAUCUCAUCAUCUCCAAUGGCCAUGAAAACCAAUUGAGCAGAUUCUUCUUCCACUUCAAUUUCACCAUCGGAGUUGCAUUCAUUCCAUGUGAACUGAAAAUUGUUGAAUCGUGAUUUUCUUUCACCUUUUCUCUUUUUCAUUGGACACUCACUUGCAUAGUAUCCAGAUUGGGCGCAUUCAAAGCACUUAUCAAUUUGCUUUAUAUUGAACUCUGACUUUUCUUUGUUUCUUAAGUUGUUGAACUGAUUUGAAAAGGAGUUGGUAGGUCCACCUUUUCUGAAUCUUCUCUUAUUGAGUAUUCUUUUAAAAUCUCGUGUGAUGAAUACAAUAUCACUGUCAUCACCUUCCAUGUCAUCUCCAUCCAGGGAGGCUGCAUCAUCUUCAUCUUGUGAGGCCUUCAGAGUAAUACUCUUUCUCAUCUUUGUGUCUUCUUCUUCCCGUACCUUGGACUUGAAUUUUAGCUCAUAAGAAAUCAGUCAAUUAAUAAGAGAUUCGAUGGAUAAUGUAUUUAGAUUUUUGGCUUCCUCAAUGACAGUCACUUUACUCUCACAAUCCUUCGAUAAGGCAUUCAAAAUUUUUCUAUUUUUCUCACCUAGAGAGUAUUCCUUUUCCAACACCUCUAAAUCCUUAAUGAGGUCGUUGAAUUUACAGUACAUCUCAUCAAUAUUUUCAUGAGGUUCCAUCUUGAACGAUUCAUACUUGGUAAUCAUAAUAUAUUUCUUUUAUUCUCUUACAUUCUCACUUUUUUCAUGGAUUUCUCUAAAUUUGUCCCAAAUUUCUUUAGCAGACUUACACCCUUUGACCCUAAUGGAUUCAUUUGAAUCUAAAACACAAUAUAACGCAUUCAUGGCUUUUGCAUUUAAGGUGGAUGGAUUCUAUUCACAGCAGUCAGUUCAUUUCUAGUUUUUGGUUUAGAUCUAUGAGUAUUUUCAUCUAUAAGAGAGAUAUCAUAUGGACAUUCACUAAUAAUAAACCACAAUUCAAUAUCAAUUGAUUGCAAAAAAAUAAUCAUUCUUUCCUUCCAACUCACAUAAUUUGAACCAUUAAACAUAGGUGGUCUAAUGACAGAAUGUUCUUCAAAAAACAUGGCAUUGUUGGUUGUCAUUUUUACUCCUAACCCGAUUGAGCUUAAUCUCAGGGAGACCAAGCUCUGAUACCAAUUGUAAGGAUCAAAGACAACCAAGUGAAAGAGAUAAGCAGUGUAAAAAUCACAAACGUAACAAUAAAUAAAUAAAAAAAUUACAAACCAAUUAACUACCCAACUCCUCUUGAGCUUACAGAUUAAUUCAAAUAAGUUUCUUCAAAUUGAUGAAUUACAAUCACUCUUGCGUACAAAGGAAGGUUCACCUCCUCCUUACCCCGAACACCACUCGGUCAAGUCAGGAAGUUUUACUAUCCCUCAGGACAACCCUCACAGAGUUACACUCAUGAAAUAUUCACUCACAAAUGAAAAACUUAUAUUGAACCUCACACCACUAAAACUACAAAUCUUCUUUGAAGAGUAUUUUCUCACUAAAAUCACUCUAGAUCUUUUGUAUUUUCAGUGUGCAAAAGUUGUUUAAAAUAACUGACCAACUACUAUAUAUAUAGGAUCAAGAAAGUGUCUCAUUAAUAUUUUCAACGGAUAGAAAGUAGAUGAAGAGUCAACUAGCCGUUUGAGUGUCGGACGUCCGAUAGUCCUGUUUUUUGCUUCCGACGGCAGGCAGUGAAUUUAAGAGAUUUUCUUCAAUUCUUUCGGACGUCCGGUGCAAGCUCUUUGUGCGUCCGACAGCAAACAAAGAGAUUUGAGAAAUCAUAUUGUUUCUAUCGGACGUCCAGUGGAGACAUAUUCAGCGUCCGAUGGUUUCGUCGAUUUUGAAAGAUCCUAUCGGACGUCCGAUACUAGCGUCCGAUCGAGGUCAGUGAUCCAGGGGAAAAGUCUUAUUUCCUUCGGGGUGGAGUUCUUCAUGCGUCCGAAAUUACGCAAUGAUUAUCGGACGUCCGAUCCAAGCGUUCAACAGCUUUCAGCAACCUUUGUCCCUUUCAAUUGCACUUGAUCUUUGAAUCUGAUUUGCUUUACAACUGAAAAUAUUUUUUGAAGAGAUAUUAGUAUUAUCCAUUGUUUUGUAAAUAUCAAAAGUUAGGGACCAAGGUCAACAUUCUCCCCUUUGUGAUGAUGACAAAAUAAUAGAUGGAAGAAGGAAAAAGAUUGAGCAUAUGAGCAUAAGCUCCCCCUCACUCAUUGCAUCCAAAUUUAUAAUUUCAGAAUAACUUCUCCUAACACAUACCAUCCAUUUCUCCCCCUUUUUGUCAUCAUAAGAUGAGAGUAAAAAUCAUCCAUCAAAAUCCAGCAACAAUAACAGAGAAUCCAAUAUUCCAAAUAAAAAUAAAGAAAUAAUAGCAAUUACCAACAUACCACAGCAAAUCAUCAUGAGAUCAGCAUUAUUCUUUUUUUCUCCCUUUUUGUUAACAUACAAAUUCAGUCAAAAAUCAAGAAAAACUCAUAUCAAAGCAUCAAAACAUCAAAAGAGAAUUACAAAAAAAAUAUUAUGAACAAGAAUCUCAUCAAUCUUACCAAUAUCUGCUACUUGUUAGAAUUAGUAUCAUGUCUAACUAUCCACAUGCAUUUCAUGCCUUUUUUCAUAUUCUUUCUCACAUAGCAAUCACUUUUCAUGUGAUCUUUUUGACAACAGAAAUUACAUAUAAUCAAAGAGUUAUUUAUAUGAACAGGUUUAAUAAAUCUUACUUAUCUUCUCUUAUAAAUAGAAAAUUCGUUGGAAUUAGAAUUCAAUCUAUUCUUUUGAAAACAAACUUGUUUCUUGUGUUUAAGCAACUCAUUUAAACCAUUCAUUCUUUUUUUCAAAUCACCUUGUUCCUUUUUGAACAAUUCACAAAUCUUUGUUUUUCUAUCAAGCUCCAAGUGUAAAGCAGUCUCACUCUUUUUGAAGUAAUCAUUUUCAGCUUUCAACUUUUUAUUUUGUUGAAAAAGAUUUGUGUUGUCUUGAAAAAGAAAACUAAUUUUAUGUUUUAAUUCCUUGUUUCUAGCAUAAGAUUCUUUCAAACUAUCAUGCAAUUUUAUAACGAAAGAUUCAAAAUCAUCAUCAGUUUCAUCAUCACUUUCAAAUUGAGAGUUAGAAGAUGUUAUCUCAUCAUCUCCAAUGGCCAUGAAAACCAAUUGAGCAGAUUCUUCUUCCACUUCAAUUUCACCAUCGGAGUUGCAUUCAUUCCAUGUGAACUGAAAAUUGUUGAAUCGUGAUUUUCUUUCACCUUUUCUCUUUUUCAUUGGACACUCACUUGCAUAGUAUCCAGAUUGGACGCAUUCAAAGCACUUAUCAAUUUGUUUUAUAUUGAACUCUGACUUUCCUUUGUUUCUUAAGUUGUUGAACUGAUUUGAAAAGGAGUUGGUAGGUCCACCUUUUCUGAAUCUUCUCUUAUUGAGUAUUCUUUUGAAAUCUCGUGUGAUGAAUACAAUAUCACUGUCAUCACCUUCCAUGUCAUCUCCAUCCAGGGAGGCUGCAUCAUCUUCAUCUUGUGAGGCUUUCAGAGUAAUACUCUUUCUCAUCUUUGUGUUUUCUUCUUCCUAUACCUUGGACUUGAGUUUUAACUCAUAAGAAAUCAGUGAAUUAAUAAGAGAUUCGAUAGAUAAUGUAUUUAAAUCUUUGGCUUCCUCAAUGACAGUCACUUUACUCUCACAAUCCUUCGAUAAGACAUUCAAAAUUUUUCUAUUUUUCUCACCUAGAGAGUAUUCCUUUUCCAACACCUCUAAAUCCUUAAUGAGGUUGUUGAAUCUACAGUACAUCUCAUCAAUAUUUUCAUGAGGUUCCAUCUUGAACGAUUCAUACUUGGUAAUCAGAAUAGAUUUCUUUUGUUCUCUUACAUUCUCACUUUCUUCAUGAAUUUCUCUAAAUUUGUCCCAAAUUUCUUUAGCAGACUUACACCCUUUGACCCUAAUGGAUUCAUUUGAAUCUAAAACACAAUAUAACGCAUUCAUGGCUUUUGCAUUUAAGGUGGAUAGGUUCUAUUCACAGCAGUCAGUUCAUUUCUAGUUUUUGGUUUAGAUCUAUGAGUAUUUUUAUCUAUAAGAGAGACAUCAUAUGGACAUUCACUAAUAAUAAACCACAAUUCAAUAUCAAUUGAUUGCAAAAAAAUAAUCAUUCUUUCUUUCCAACUCACAUAAUUUGAACCAUUAAGCAUAGGUGGUCUAAUGACAGAAUGUCCUUCAAAAUAUAUGGCAUUAUUGGUUGUCAUUUUUACUCCUAACCCGAUUGAGCUUAAUCUCAGGGAGACCAAGCUCUGAUACCAAUUGUAAGGAUCAAAGACAACCAAGUGAAAGAGAUAAGCAGUGUAAAAAUCACAAACGUAACAAUAAAUAAAUAAAUAAAAUUACAAACCAAUUAACUACCCAACUCCUCUUGAGCUUACAGAUUAAUUCAAAUAAGUUUCUUCAAAUUGAUGAAUUAUAAUCACUCUUGCGUACAAAGGAAGGUUCACCUCCUCCUUACCCCGAACACCACUCGGUCAAGUCAGGAAGUUUUACUAUCCCUCAGGACAACCCUCACAGAGUUACACUCAUGAAAUAUUCACUCACAAAUGAAAAACUUAUAUUGAACCUCACACCACUAAAACUACAAAUCUUCUUUGAAGAGUAUUUUCUCACUAAAAUCACUCUAGAUCUUUUGUAUUUUCAGUGUGCAAAAGUUGUUUAAAAUAACUGACCAACUACUAUAUAUAUAGGAUCAAGAAAGUGUCUCAUUAAUAUUUUCAACGGAUAGAAAGUAGAUGAAGAGUCAACUAGCCGUUUGAGUGUCGGACGUCCGAUAGUCCUGUUUUUUGCUUCCGACGGCAGGCAGUGAAUUUAAGAGAUUUUCUUCAAUUCUUUCGGACGUCCGGUGCAAGCUCUUUGUGCGUCCGACAGCAAACAAAGAGAUUUGAGAAAUCAUAUUGUUUCUAUCGGACGUCCAGUGGAGACAUAUUCAGCGUCCGAUGGUUUCGUCGAUUUUGAAGGAUCCUAUCGGACGUCCGAUACUAGCGUCCGAUCGAGGUCAGUGAUCCAGGGGAAAAGUCUUAUUUCCUUCGGGGUGGAGUUCUUCAUGCGUCCGAAAUUACGCAAUGAUUAUCGGACGUCCGAUCCAAGCGUUCAACAGCUUUCAGCAACCUUUGUCCCUUUCAAUUGCACUUGAUCUUUGAAUCUGAUUUGCUUUACAACUGAAAAUAUUUUUUGAAGAGAUAUUAGUAUUAUCCAUUGUUUUGUAAAUAUCAAAAGUUAGGGACCAAGGUCAACAUUCUCCCCUUUGUGAUGAUGACAAAAUAAUAGAUGGAAGAAGGAAAAAGAUUGAGCAUAUGAGCAUAAGCUCCCCCUCACUCAUUGCAUCCAAAUUUAUAAUUUCAGAAUAACUUCUCCUAACACAUACCAUCCAUUUCUCCCCCUUUUUGUCAUCAUAAGAUGAGAGUAAAAAUCAUCCAUCAAAAUCCAGCAACAAUAACAGAGAAUCCAAUAUUCCAAAUAAAAAUAAAGAAAUAAUAGCAAUUACCAACAUACCACAGCAAAUCAUCAUGAGAUCAGCAUUAUUCUUUUUUUCUCCCUUUUUGUUAACAUACAAAUUCAGUCAAAAAUCAAGAAAAACUCAUAUCAAAGCAUCAAAACAUCAAAAGAGAAUUACAAAAAAAAUAUUAUGAACAAGAAUCUCAUCAAUCUUACCAAUAUCUGCUACUUGUUAGAAUUAGUAUCAUGUCUAACUAUCCACAUGCAUUUCAUGCCUUUUUUCAUAUUCUUUCUCACAUAGCAAUCACUUUUCAUGUGAUCUUUUUGACAACAGAAAUUACAUAUAAUCAAAGAGUUAUUUAUAUGAACAGGUUUAAUAAAUCUUACUUAUCUUCUCUUAUAAAUAGAAAAUUCGUUGGAAUUAGAAUUCAAUCUAUUCUUUUGAAAACAAACUUGUUUCUUGUGUUUAAGCAACUCAUUUAAACCAUUCAUUCUUUUUUUCAAAUCACCUUGUUCCUUUUUGAACAAUUCACAAAUCUUUGUUUUUCUAUCAAGCUCCAAGUGUAAAGCAGUCUCACUCUUUUUGAAGUAAUCAUUUUCAGCUUUCAACUUUUUAUUUUGUUGAAAAAGAUUUGUAUUGUCUUGAAAAAGAAAACUAAUUUUAUGUUUUAAUUCCUUGUUUCUAGCAUAAGAUUCUUUCAAACUAUCAUGCAAUUUUAUAACGAAAGAUUCAAAAUCAUCAUCAGUUUCAUCAUCACUUUCAAAUUGAGAGUUAGAAGAUGUUAUCUCAUCAUCUCCAAUGGCCAUGAAAACCAAUUGAGCAGAUUCUUCUUCCACUUCAAUUUCACCAUCGGAGUUGCAUUCAUUCCAUGUGAACUGAAAAUUGUUGAAUCGUGAUUUUCUUUCACCUUUUCUCUUUUUCAUUGGACACUCACUUGCAUAGUAUCCAGAUUGGGCGCAUUCAAAGCACUUAUCAAUUUGCUUUAUAUUGAACUCUGACUUUUCUUUGUUUCUUAAGUUGUUGAACUGAUUUGAAAAGGAGUUGGUAGGUCCACCUUUUCUGAAUCUUCUCUUAUUGAGUAUUCUUUUAAAAUCUCGUGUGAUGAAUACAAUAUCACUGUCAUCACCUUCCAUGUCAUCUCCAUCCAGGGAGGCUGCAUCAUCUUCAUCUUGUGAGGCCUUCAGAGUAAUACUCUUUCUCAUCUUUGUGUCUUCUUCUUCCCGUACCUUGGACUUGAAUUUUAGCUCAUAAGAAAUCAGUCAAUUAAUAAGAGAUUCGAUGGAUAAUGUAUUUAGAUUUUUGGCUUCCUCAAUGACAGUCACUUUACUCUCACAAUCCUUCGAUAAGGCAUUCAAAAUUUUUCUAUUUUUCUCACCUAGAGAGUAUUCCUUUUCCAACACCUCUAAAUCCUUAAUGAGGUCGUUGAAUUUACAGUACAUCUCAUCAAUAUUUUCAUGAGGUUCCAUCUUGAACGAUUCAUACUUGGUAAUCAUAAUAGAUUUCUUUUAUUCUCUUACAUUCUCACUUUUUUCAUGGAUUUCUCUAAAUUUGUCCCAAAUUUCUUUAGCAGACUUACACCCUUUGACCCUAAUGGAUUCAUUUGAAUCUAAAACACAAUAUAACGCAUUCAUGGCUUUUGCAUUUAAGGUGGAUGGAUUCUAUUCACAGCAGUCAGUUCAUUUCUAGUUUUUGGUUUAGAUCUAUGAGUAUUUUCAUCUAUAAGAGAGAUAUCAUAUGGACAUUCACUAAUAAUAAACCACAAUUCAAUAUCAAUUGAUUGCAAAAAAAUAAUCAUUCUUUCCUUCCAACUCACAUAAUUUGAACCAUUAAACAUAGGUGGUCUAAUGACAGAAUGUUCUUCAAAAAACAUGGCAUUGUUGGUUGUCAUUUUUACUCCUAACCCGAUUGAGCUUAAUCUCAGGGAGACCAAGCUCUGAUACCAAUUGUAAGGAUCAAAGACAACCAAGUGAAAGAGAUAAGCAGUGUAAAAAUCACAAACGUAACAAUAAAUAAAUAAAAAAAUUACAAACCAAUUAACUACCCAACUCCUCUUGAGCUUACAGAUUAAUUCAAAUAAGUUUCUUCAAAUUGAUGAAUUACAAUCACUCUUGCGUACAAAGGAAGGUUCACCUCCUCCUUACCCCGAACACCACUCGGUCAAGUCAGGAAGUUUUACUAUCCCUCAGGACAACCCUCACAGAGUUACACUCAUGAAAUAUUCACUCACAAAUGAAAAACUUAUAUUGAACCUCACACCACUAAAACUACAAAUCUUCUUUGAAGAGUAUUUUCUCACUAAAAUCACUCUAGAUCUUUUGUAUUUUCAGUGUGCAAAAGUUGUUUAAAAUAACUGACCAACUACUAUAUAUAUAGGAUCAAGAAAGUGUCUCAUUAAUAUUUUCAACGGAUAGAAAGUAGAUGAAGAGUCAACUAGCCGUUUGAGUGUCGGACGUCCGAUAGUCCUGUUUUUUGCUUCCGACGGCAGGCAGUGAAUUUAAGAGAUUUUCUUCAAUUCUUUCGGACGUCCGGUGCAAGCUCUUUGUGCGUCCGACAGCAAACAAAGAGAUUUGAGAAAUCAUAUUGUUUCUAUCGGACGUCCAGUGGAGACAUAUUCAGCGUCCGAUGGUUUCGUCGAUUUUGAAGGAUCCUAUCGGACGUCCGAUACUAGCGUCCGAUCGAGGUCAGUGAUCCAGGGGAAAAGUCUUAUUUCCUUCGGGGUGGAGUUCUUCAUGCGUCCGAAAUUACGCAAUGAUUAUCGGACGUCCGAUCCAAGCGUUCAACAGCUUUCAGCAACCUUUGUCCCUUUCAAUUGCACUUGAUCUUUGAAUCUGAUUUGCUUUACAACUGAAAAUAUUUUUUGAAGAGAUAUUAGUAUUAUCCAUUGUUUUGUAAAUAUCAAAAGUUAGGGACCAAGGUCAACAUUCUCCCCUUUGUGAUGAUGACAAAAUAAUAGAUGGAAGAAGGAAAAAGAUUGAGCAUAUGAGCAUAAGCUCCCCCUCACUCAUUGCAUCCAAAUUUAUAAUUUCAGAAUAACUUCUCCUAACACAUACCAUCCAUUUCUCCCCCUUUUUGUCAUCAUAAGAUGAGAGUAAAAAUCAUCCAUCAAAAUCCAGCAACAAUAACAGAGAAUCCAAUAUUCCAAAUAAAAAUAAAGAAAUAAUAGCAAUUACCAACAUACCACAGCAAAUCAUCAUGAGAUCAGCAUUAUUCUUUUUUUCUCCCUUUUUGUUAACAUACAAAUUCAGUCAAAAAUCAAGAAAAACUCAUAUCAAAGCAUCAAAACAUCAAAAGAGAAUUACAAAAAAAAUAUUAUGAACAAGAAUCUCAUCAAUCUUACCAAUAUCUGCUACUUGUUAGAAUUAGUAUCAUGUCUAACUAUCCACAUGCAUUUCAUGCCUUUUUUCAUAUUCUUUCUCACAUAGCAAUCACUUUUCAUGUGAUCUUUUUGACAACAGAAAUUACAUAUAAUCAAAGAGUUAUUUAUAUGAACAGGUUUAAUAAAUCUUACUUAUCUUCUCUUAUAAAUAGAAAAUUCGUUGGAAUUAGAAUUCAAUCUAUUCUUUUGAAAACAAACUUGUUUCUUGUGUUUAAGCAACUCAUUUAAACCAUUCAUUCUUUUUUUCAAAUCACCUUGUUCCUUUUUGAACAAUUCACAAAUCUUUGUUUUUCUAUCAAGCUCCAAGUGUAAAGCAGUCUCACUCUUUUUGAAGUAAUCAUUUUCAGCUUUCAACUUUUUAUUUUGUUGAAAAAGAUUUGUGUUGUCUUGAAAAAGAAAACUAAUUUUAUGUUUUAAUUCCUUGUUUCUAGCAUAAGAUUCUUUCAAACUAUCAUGCAAUUUUAUAACGAAAGAUUCAAAAUCAUCAUCAGUUUCAUCAUCACUUUCAAAUUGAGAGUUAGAAGAUGUUAUCUCAUCAUCUCCAAUGGCCAUGAAAACCAAUUGAGCAGAUUUUUCUUCCUCUUCAAUUUCACCAUCGGAGUUGCAUUCAUUCCAUGUGAACUGAAAAUUGUUGAAUCUUGAUUUUCUUUCACAUUUUCUCUUCUUCAUUGGACACUCACUUGCAUAGUGUCCAGAUUGGACGCAUUCAAAGCACUUAUCAAUUUGUUUUAUAUUGAACUCUGACUUUCCUUUGUUUCUUAAGUUGUUGAACUGAUUUGAAAAGGAGUUGGUAGGUCCACCUUUUCUGAAUCUUCUCUUAUUGAGUAUUCUUUUGAAAUCUCGUGUGAUGAAUACAAUAUCACUGUCAUCACCUUCCAUGUCAUCUCCAUCCAGGGAGGCUGCAUCAUCUUCAUCUUGUGAGGCUUUCAGAGUAAUACUCUUUCUCAUCUUUGUGUUUUCUUCUUCCUAUACCUUGGACUUGAGUUUUAACUCAUAAGAAAUCAGUGAAUUAAUAAGAGAUUCGAUAGAUAAUGUAUUUAAAUCUUUGGCUUCCUCAAUGACAGUCACUUUACUCUCACAAUCCUUCGAUAAGACAUUCAAAAUUUUUCUAUUUUUCUCACCUAGAGAGUAUUCCUUUUCCAACACCUCUAAAUCCUUAAUGAGGUUGUUGAAUCUACAGUACAUCUCAUCAAUAUUUUCAUGAGGUUCCAUCUUGAACGAUUCAUACUUGGUAAUCAGAAUAGAUUUCUUUUGUUCUCUUACAUUCUCACUUUCUUCAUGAAUUUCUCUAAAUUUGUCCCAAAUUUCUUUAGCAGACUUACACCCUUUGACCCUAAUGGAUUCAUUUGAAUCUAAAACACAAUAUAACGCAUUCAUGGCUUUUGCAUUUAAGGUGGAUAGGUUCUAUUCACAGCAGUCAGUUCAUUUCUAGUUUUUGGUUUAGAUCUAUGAGUAUUUUUAUCUAUAAGAGAGACAUCAUAUGGACAUUCACUAAUAAUAAACCACAAUUCAAUAUCAAUUGAUUGCAAAAAAAUAAUCAUUCUUUCUUUCCAACUCACAUAAUUUGAACCAUUAAGCAUAGGUGGUCUAAUGACAGAAUGUCCUUCAAAAUAUAUGGCAUUAUUGGUUGUCAUUUUUACUCCUAACCCGAUUGAGCUUAAUCUCAGGGAGACCAAGCUCUGAUACCAAUUGUAAGGAUCAAAGACAACCAAGUGAAAGAGAUAAGCAGUGUAAAAAUCACAAACGUAACAAUAAAUAAAUAAAUAAAAUUACAAACCAAUUAACUACCCAACUCCUCUUGAGCUUACAGAUUAAUUCAAAUAAGUUUCUUCAAAUUGAUGAAUUAUAAUCACUCUUGCGUACAAAGGAAGGUUCACCUCCUCCUUACCCCGAACACCACUCGGUCAAGUCAGGAAGUUUUACUAUCCCUCAGGACAACCCUCACAGAGUUACACUCAUGAAAUAUUCACUCACAAAUGAAAAACUUAUAUUGAACCUCACACCACUAAAACUACAAAUCUUCUUUGAAGAGUAUUUUCUCACUAAAAUCACUCUAGAUCUUUUGUAUUUUCAGUGUGCAAAAGUUGUUUAAAAUAACUGACCAACCACUAUAUAUAUAGGAUCAAGAAAGUGUCUCAUUAAUAUUUUCAACGGAUAGAAAGUAGAUGAAGAGUUAACUAGCCGUUUGAGUGUCGGACGUCCGAUAGUCCUGUUUUUUGCUUCCGACGGCAGGCAGUGAAUUUAAGAGAUUUUCUUCAAUUCUUUCGGACGUCCGGUGCAAGCUCUUUGUGCGUCCGACAGCAAACAAAGAGAUUUGAGAAAUCAUCUUGUUUCUAUCGGACGUCCGGUGGAGACAUAUUAAGCGUCCAAUGGUUUGGUCGAUUUUGAAGGAUCCUAUUGGACGUCUGAUGCUAGCGUCCGAUCGAGGUCAGUGAUCUAGGGGGAAAGUCUUAUUUCCUUCGGACGUCCGGUGGUGGAGUUCUUCAUGCGUUCGAAGUUACGCAAUGAUUAUCGGACGCCCGAUCCAAGCGUCUGACAGCUUUCAGCAACCUUUGUCCCUUUCAAUUGCACUUGAUCUUUGAAUCUGAUUUGCUUUACAACUGAAAAUAUUUCUUGAAGAGAUAUUAGUAUUAUCCAUUGUUUUGUAAAUAUCAAAAGUUAUGGACCAAGGUCAACACCUGCGAACCUGAGGAACUCUAGCUUGGGUACCCUUGGGAUGAAGGCAUUUCGUUCUCCUCUUUCCUGAUGCACCUGCCCUUGCUUGGAGUUGCCUUGCAGGGAACUUGUAGGGGUGGCUAGGAGUCCCCUCUCUUGCUGUGGAUUCCUGCUACUCCUUCCAAUUUGCGUAGCAAUGCUGGCUAUGAGAGCCCUUAACUCCGUGGAGUUGGCCAGCAUCUUCUCCUCCAUGGAUUUCAGAGUCUCGCUAGUCGACUCCAUGAAUGUCUAUAACUUAGCUUCCUGCUUUCAGACCUGUUCCUCAAUUGUUUUGAGGCGUGUACCUUCGGCCAUGGCUGUGAAUCAAGCUCAUGAUUCCAAGGAUCGGAAGCUUUGAUGCCACUGUAAUAAGAGCUGGAAAGGAAAAAGAGAGAGAGAGAAGAAGACUUGAGAAAGAAGAAAUUGAGAUUUUAUUCCAAAUGCCAAAAGUCUCCUUCUCCUCUGGAUCCUCAUGCUUAUAUACAACUCAAAUAAUAUCUAGUUGCAUGCAAAUAAUGCCUUGGCUGCAUGCUGACUCAGCAAUAACUGACUAACUACAAGAAUAUUCCCUAUAUCUAGCUCAAUGGAUUGCAUGGAUUGCAUUUCAUUUUCUAAUGGCUGAGCUAGCUAGUCAUUACAAUCACCCUCCUUUUCCUAUAAAGAAAUAAUCAAGUAAGUUAUGAUAUUGCAAAGGGUUGAUUCCAAGCCGAUCCCCUCUCCCCGGGUCUCAAAAAUAUCAAUUCCACAAUUUGCUCAUUGAAGUUGAAUUGGAUCAAUAUGCUCUCUAUGAUAAUUGAUUUUUCCUAAUUAGAAUCCUCAUAACUUAAGCAACAUAUUGAUUGAAACUCUAAAUUUUAUGGACCAAAAAAUGCAAAGUAAAAUUUUUUUAACUAAUACUAAUUUGAUUUUGGCAAUAAGUUCUUGUGAUUUUACAUCAAUGUCCAAAAUUUGCAAAUGAAGACUAAAUUUAUUUUGAUCAAAACAUUAUGGAUGUGUGUUGGCACAUAAGCCAAACAUUGGGCAUUAUAACUGCAUUUCUUUCAUGCGAAAAAAGAAGUUCAUAAUGUGCUAGCAGAAAAAUCCUUUAAAAUGGUAGGGUUGCAAAUAAAUCGAGUUGAGUUGAAUUUUGAUUUAACUGAGUUGAGCCUUGAUUUAAUUUUUCCAAACUCGGUCUCAAUCUUGAACUCAACGAACUUUUAAUGUAAAACUCGAGUUCAAGUUUGACCUCAAUUUUGCACCUAAUCAAACUCAAACUCGAGCCUACUCGAGCUUAAAAAAUUUUUAAAUUAUUAUUUUAUUUUAAAAAAUGAAUAAAAGUCAUUAAUAAAUCAUAAAAAUAUUAGAGAUAUAUAUAUAAUUUCACUACUAAAAUAAAAAUAAUACGCAUAUAUAUGCAAAUUUAUGUGUCUAAAUAUAUAUGUGUGUGUGUGUGUGUGUGUGUCUGUGUGUAUAUGUAUAUGCGUAUGUAUGUAUAUAUGUAUGUAUGUAUAUUCCAGCAAUCUCACAAACUAAUUAACUAAGUUUCUCUAUACUUAACUCGUGUUUAAUAUUGACCAAGCUCGAGUCAAGAUUAAGCAAUUUGAUUUGUUUGCAAUCCUAAUCUUCUCUUCCAUUCCCUUCCCUUCCCUUUGUAGACACCAAAUCUUUGCUAAUUUCCAAAAUUUCCUUGAGCUUUUUACUUAUUUAUUAGUGGUUUAUUUUUAUACAUUCUUUUUCUUAUUUCUUUUAGGCUUUUCAAAAACAAGAAAAGGAGAAUAAAAAUUUAGGAAAAAGUAAGAAAUAAGAAAAUCAAAGGAAUAAUUAAGCCCAAGUUAAAAAUAGACAUAAGCUGAUAAAGUAAAGCUCAAAACCCAAGCCCAUUUCUUGUAAGCUAGGGAAAGAGAAAAGAUUGAGGAUAAGUUAAUAUUUUUAUUAAUAGAAUUAGAUUUUUCACUUUAUUUUUUCAUACCAAAUUUUCAGAAGGACCGACAUCAUGUUUGUUUUUUUUUUCUUUUCUUCGUUUUGGACUGGUAGUCCUGGAGGGCUACGUUUGGAUUCCUCAUUUUUUUAAAAAACUAGGAGGCUGUAAAUAGUGCCCAUUUCUAGUUAUAUAAGUGUAUUUCUCACAAAGAAACAUAUAAGUGUGAAAGGCUGUAAACCGUAGGACGAUGUAAGUGCAAAGUGCAUAUUACAAAGAAGAUGUAAGUGUGUUUAUCUAGAUGUAAGUAGUGUGUUUAUUACAACAGUAAUUCUGUUUAUUUAUCUAGAUCUAUUCAACAGCUAGUUAGUAUUAAAAUAUAAAAUGUAAGUGUGAAAAAAAACAAUAAAAAAGUAAUUUCAAAAGGCUCAAAAGCAUUUAUUUGGACCUUUAUAAACCAAAGGACGAAUUAGAUAUAAAUCCAAAGGUCAUGACAUAUAUUAAGUGCAAAUAACUAAUAAUAAAAAUAAUAAAUUUAACUAAUAUAUUAAGUGUAAACCUAUGUUCAUAUUAUAAAAUAAAGUAUGCAAAUAACAAAUAUACUAUGAAAAUUGGAGGUGAUGAAAACAAAUAGAAUAUGACGUAUUUCUUUGUCUUUCUUUGUCUUUGGAGCAGGUAAUAAAAAUCGGAGGUAAAACGUGCUUUAUCAUGAUCACCAAUAAAUAAAUAAAAAAAUUCCUUGCAAAGCAGAAUGACAUAAACUCUCAUAGGGUGCUUCUAUGGUGGAAACUGGAAGGUGAGAUGAACUUCCCACCGUGGGUAGAGCCACUACAAUCACAACAACUCAAUGUGGGAUCCUUGUCCAAGCCUUGCGGGUCCAACUAAGUUAAGGCAAUUGGCUGUAGUAAGUGAAUUAUGUAGUAGAAAAAUAAAAAAUAUGUGACUUUCUAAAGGACAACAAUAAUUGUAGAUAUAAAUUAGAUUCAAUUGAUAAAUUAAUCAUCAUCAAUUGUCGAACCAUACAACAUAAAUUAACCUUUUGUGAUCAUUAUCACUACCAUUAAUAUUUAUCUGUUAAUAGUAAUGGAUUUUUUUUUUGUUGAAACCUAUAGAGUGUUUUAUAACUAAAAAUAUAGAUAUAGGUUUAUAUUUUUUUAUUACUCUUUUCUCUCAAUUUUUUUCACUCUUUUAAUUUCUUCUAGUAUUUUUAAAAUUUUUAUUUUUAAUUAAAAAUAUCAAUUACAUUGGUGAGUAAAUAUUGAUUCCCUAUUAAAAUAAUGAUCAUCACAAAAUGAGCCAAUGAUAUCCAUCAACUCAUUCCAAUUAAGUAUUAACCUUAAUCAAAUGAUAAGUAUCACUAUGAAUAAUUUGAAACUCAUUCCUUGAGGAACCAACUUACCAAAUGCCUUCUAAGUACAUGAAACAAAUUGCACAAUUUGUGUAGAUAAAGUUAUUUUGUGAAAAUUCAUGAAAUAUGUGAUGCAAUCCCCAAACCAUGAUCAAUUGUAAGUAAAGAAAAAGAAAAGUCAAUGAAUGGUUGCCUAACUGAUUCUCAUGUUAGUACCUAAAUCUUUUUAAAAUCUAGUAAUAUUUCAUUAAUUGAAACUUGUCACAAUAAUCAAUAUUUCAUUAAUUGAAACUUGUCACAAUCAUCAUUUGAAUCACGGUACAAAUUUUCUUUGGUUCUUUUCUUUUUCUUUUUAUUCAGAUAAAAAUUUAUUUACUAAUGUAAUAUGUUUUAAUUUUUAGUACAAUGAAACAUUAUUACUCAUGUUUAAACAAUAUGGGGGGACUCAACUCCUACAUGUGCAUAUCCAAAAUUUUAAUUUUCAUCCAAUUUCUAAUAACAUUUUUGUUCAUAAUAAAAUUUACUACUCUCUUUAAUUACCAUAUAAUGUAAUCACAUCUAAAUUUCUAAUUCUUCCAUUUAUCUUUACAUUCCACUUAAUUAACUUAUCUUUCUACAAUACGUAUGAAUCAUUUUUUUCGUUUCAAGUACUUGUAGCACUAUAUUGGAAAAGUUCACCAUUUGCUUUAUUCCCGAUCCUCUUUUUCUUUCAUGUUUCUUUGAUGCCAUUCAUUUUUUUUUCAUUUUUGUUGGGGUCGAUGUGAGGACUCACAAAAGUUUAUUAUUUUAAAUUCCAUUUUGAGCUUAUUUAACCAUUUAAUUGCCCAUUUAUUCCGAAUAUUAUUUUCUAACUUCUUUAGACCUAAUUACAUGGAUUUAUAAUUUCGUUAUAUUUUUAAAGUGACUUGUUUCAAAAUUUAAUUUUUGGAAGCUCGUUAAGUGAAAAUAACGAAUACACGAUUAGAGUCAAUAAUCGAUUCGAGAAUACAAAAAGCUUGGAAAAUUAGAGGCUUGCACAAUGGUCUUGAAAUAGGUAUUUUUGUGCUUAAAUACUCAAGUGAUAGUUAUUAGUACUAACGUUAUAAGAAUUUCUUGAAGGUUUCACUUUAUCGCGCUUAAAUUGGAAUACGUGUUUUCAUACGCGCGAUUUAAUUGAGAAACUCUAGACCCUUAUUUUGGGACAAUUAAAAGUGAAUAAUAUUUAUAUGAAUAUAAGUGUAUUGGAGGUCUAGUGCACUAGUCAAAUAAACUCGAAAGAAAUCGAGCACAAAACGCGAUCAUGCGAGCGCGAAGGAGGGUUGACUUUUGGGCAACUUUGGACCACACACUAAAGCUUCCUUUGGAAGCUUCAUUUUAGAUCAGAAUUCCCUCUCUCCUAGCUCCAUUUUCAGUGUGCAACUCCAAGGAAAAGAACCAAGCUUGCUCCUUCAAUUUUCUUCUCCAUUUCCCUCACCAAACUUGCACCAUUUUGCACCAAAAUUUAACUACACUUAGUUUAUUGCUUGAAGAUCAUAUUAAACUACAAAAAAGGGAAGCUUUUUACGGUUUUCUUGGCCAAGGAGAGGACCGAAAAUUCGGUUCUUGCACACCAAGUGAAGUAGGUGACGAUCUAACCUUCAAAACUUGGUUUAUGGAAGUUCUAGUGCCCUUAUAUACUCAUGCAUGUUCAUGGGUAACUUGUUUAUGGUGAAAAAAUAGUUGUGUGGGCUCUAUGAACUCCCACCUUGGAUAUAUGAACUGGUUUGUGGUGUUUUGAUGGUAAUAAUAUUUAUUUAGUGCCUAAACUAGUGGAUUAAUGUUGGGUUGUUGAUGGAAACUCAAGGAUGGUGCAACAACCAAAAGUGACCAUUUUGCCCCUGCUUUGUUCUAGCACUUUGGUGCGAAAAUUUGAAAUUCUAAUGACUUUUUUAUGUUGUUUACAUGUUAUAUUGAGUGUGUAAAAAGUUUCAUUGAAAAAUAACUUGAUUUGGUCACCCAAAUGUUGGAAUUUCGGAAGCUUAGAAAUCUGGAAUUGGUUCCCGUCACUGCCCAGGCAGUCAUCUUGUUUUGGCUAUAACUCAUCGCUCCGAUGUCAUAAUUAAGUGCCGUUUGUGGCACUGGAAACUAGACAUUCCCAUCUUUCCGUUGGUAUAAAAUUCUUGUCCUGGUUCCACUCGAGCAAGCCAAACCAUUCGUUUGAAAUUAGCUGUCCUGUUUCAUUGCUUCCUGGAAGGCAGCACAUGAGCUGUAACUUGAUGCUCACGAACAAGCUAGUUAUGGACAUAUUUGGAAAACGGUUUCUUCUGAGAAAAUGUAGCCUUAUGAGUCUAUUUUCCAACGCCACCAACCAUGCUCAAUUCCAAGUUGAAUUGUGUGAUUUAUGAUCAAAAUUCAAAUCUGAUCUUGUGAAGGAAUACCAUGUAUUUGGACAGAUUUGAAACUAACAAUGAUUUGGGACUUGUUAUCCUAAGCUUCUUAGUGUAAAUCACCUAUCGAAUGUACCUUGGACAUAUCUUAGACUACCUACUGGAAUGGAACAUGUUUGAUAUGUUCCUUGACCAAAUGUUUGGAAACGGCAAAAUGGAAGUUCAAAGGCAGCUUAGCCUUAGAAUUUCUUGUGAUUUCAACGGUCUCGUUAACCGAUUUCCGUACAUAUUUUUCUAUAAAAUUUGGCAAAGGAGUGGCUCUUAUAUGAUAGUAUAUUCAUACCAAAUUUGGUGCCAUUCCGAGUCCAUUUCGAUACUCGAACAAAAUUCCAAAAUUGGUGCUUUAAACCUGGAAAUUUCAUAACUGCCUCAAAUGUCCAGCAACUUUGAGCUACUAUAGCUUAGUGCUCAAAACUCCGAUUCUUAUUCCGCUUAUUGUGUUUUAAACUUUGAUUGUAACUGUAAUUGAGUUUCAAAUUUGAGAGGCUAGCUCCAAUUCUGUGAAUUUUGCCGAAUUUCCAAAGUUGGCGAAAAACCAACCUCGAAACUGCCUCGAUAGUCCAAAACAGUGACUUUGGGCCAAAUUUUGAAUACCUUCCAUUUAGAAUCAUAGAAAAAUGUCUUCUAAAAACUUUUAGUACUUUGAAAGAUGUUUCCAACGGUACCAAGUUUUCCAAUUUUGGACUUGUAAAGAGUGAGAUACGAUUUUUCAAAGAUCUUAUAUCAAAACUGAAAUUUCCGAAUCUUAAGGAAAUGGAUUUCCUUCGAAUUUUCUCGUUUCCUUUGAUAUCACUUGAUCGUUUCACCCUCGAUUUCAAAGAGGGAAAUCAGAUUUCGCUUAUGUUUUAAAACCCAACUUUUGGGCCUUGAUUUACGAAUAAUUAAGGGUCAUUUUCGUGAAAUUUUCUGAAAUCGCACAAGUGUGCAAUCUUUCUUAAUAAUUGGGGUUUAUAAGUGAUUGUUCAUUAUUAAUUACUCAGUCUCGCACGAGAACCUUCAAGAGGACCCCGCAGUGGACACCUGAACUUCCAGUGAAACUUCUUCUUUUGUUUACUUGGUGAGUGUCAAGUGUGUGACUACUUGAACUCCUAUGAAUUUUGUACAUGCUUGUUUACUAUUGAGGACUUGAGAUUUUGGAAAAAUGAAAUCGAGUGUGUACUUAUAGCACUCGUUCUAAUUUGAAUUGAAUUACUCAUACUUGAAAUAUUUUAAUAUGCCAAAUGCUCAAAAGUUCAAAUGUUUGAAUGUAUCAAAUACUUGAAUUACAUGAAAUAAGUAUUCUAUGACUGCAUACGUCGUUGGAGUAAACCUCCUCGACACUCAAAUGUACAUGGGGGAUGCCCAAACUCAUAGGCCAACCUUGGGACUCGACCCGGCAAGGGCUUGGUCGGGAAUCUCGGUGAGCCAUGAGAAUCACAUGAUAAACUUGAUCUAUUGGAGAGAUUUUGCUUGGCAUACUCGUUGAGUAUCACCUUAUAAAUGUCGUGCGGGCCUGGUGUGGUAUGUACAGUGGACGGACCUGAGAAGUAAAUAGAGAUCUACGGAUUAGAAAUACCGACCCGGUUGAUGGAGAGUCAUCGCGGGAAGAUAUACGAAUGACAUUGACAAAGUAAGUGGAACUUAGCUCCUAAGAGCUACCAUAUUCUUGAAUUGUUUCUAGUUACAUUUCAUUGAAAUUGUUAACUACUCGCACUUUAUCAUUUGACCUGUUAUUUGGGUUUGUUACUUGGAUUAUGUGCUUGCAUGUGUGUUCUUGGGCUCACGAGCGUUUUGCUCACCCCGUAAAUUUGUUUUCCUUAACAGGAUUGGAUACGGAGUAAACUUGGAAAAAUCUCCUUUGGAUGUAUCUUGUAUUAGGGUUUCAAAUUUUGGCUUGACCCCUUUUGGUUGUACUUUUGGAAUUUUAAUGUAAUAUUUGGAUAUGUGAUGUAUAUUUUGGGAUUUAAGAUGUACUAUGGACACCCGAUGUGUGGGUUGCAAAAUGGAUGAUGUUAAGGUUGAACGCUUCCGCACUAAUUGCAUUUAUAUUAACUGGUUGUAACGUAUAGUAUCGCUAUAAGUUUGAACGUAAAUUGCUUGAGUCCUGGCGAAAGUUGGGCAGACGUCCCGCAGAUACCCUUUGAUUCGUCUUAGGGAGAAGUGGGGGCGUCACAGUCCAUAUAUCUGGAGAGUUUCCAAAAUAUCUCCAAUUAUUGGGCCAUUUUAUGAUGACCAAAUAUGUAAAAGGGCUUCCCCAUAAUAUCAGAAGUUUUUUUUUUUUUUUUUUUACCCAGUACAUGAAUUGCCUUCUUAUUGUUUGCUCCCACAAGCAACUGGCCUUUCCUGUUCAUAGCACAACACUAUUGGCCUUCUCAUAUUAGUUUUACCCACAGUGAGCAAUACUGUUCACCUUCCAUCGUAGCCAAGCCCAGCCCGUUCCAGAUGCCUUCUUUCCCCAACCGAAAGCAAACAACUCACGUGCAAAUAACAACCAAAAGAGAACGACGAAAGUGAGUCCCAAAGUUCCUUAACCACAUUGACUGUUAGACAAAUUUUUUAUAUAUAAUAUAAUGCUACAGUAACAUAUAAAUGAAAACAACUCCAAAAACAUUAUAUUUAUACAAUAUAUCAAAAAUAACUUCAAAUAUACAAAAAAUAAAAUUUAUAAAAUUUAUUUUUUCAAUCUAUCAAAAAAUAAAAAAAUAAAAACAACUCCAUUCAACAUAUGAAAAACAACUCUAAAUAUACGCAAAAAAUAAAAAAUAAAAUCUACACCAUUUAUUUCUUUCAUCUAUCGCCACCACCCACUACCACCACCAUCCCCUCCUUUUUCCUCUUUCCUCUCCCUCUUCCCUUCCCUUUCCUUCCUCUUUCCCGCCACACUCCACCCCUCCCCCUUCCUCCUCUUCCCCCCCCCCCCCUCCCACUUUCCCAAAUAUGGCCUUGACUAGAGGUUAUGAUCUAGCCACGAUAUCAUAACCAGAGACCUCAAUCUAGCCUCGGCCAAAUCGAGGGAGGGAGGGAAGGAAAGUGGUGAGAUGCGACGAUCAAAGGGAGGAGAAGGAGAAGGGAGAAGGGGAGGAAAGAAAGGGAAGAGGAAAAAGAUAGAGGAGACGGAAAAAAAGGGAAAGAAAGAGAGGGAGGAGGAAGAAGGAGGGACAGAAGGGCAGAGGACUAGAAAAGAUAGGAGAGGUGGACGGAGAAAGUGAUGGUGAUAAUUUUUAAAAAAUAUUACAAAAAAUAUUUCAAAAUAUAUCUAAUAAACAACUCCAAAAAUAUCUAGAAAAACAUCUACACUAGAAACUAGAAAAUUUUUCAUAUAGAAUAUUACAAUAAAAUAUUUUUUAAAAAAAAAAGAGCUAAUCCAAAGUUACAAUCUUCUAAAAUCACAAUCAUCGUUCUUCUCCUAAAAAGCCAAGAAUCAAAAAAGACACAGCCUACCGCCUCUCAAUGAUCAUCUUCAAAUCAUUAUUGCCUUUGAGCUCCUAAAAUUAUCGUCAGAAUCUUUCCAAUGCCUUAAUUAGGAUUCCAAGCCCCAUUAGAAACACAGAAAAGAAGAAAGAAGAAAGAAAAAACGAAAGGCAGAAAAGAGCAGAAGGAAACAAAGGAAUCAGCAGGGAGUUGCUGUUGCCGCCGCCACCACCGGAACUUUCCACCACCACCUGCAAAUCUUCACCGAGAGAGCACUGUAAGCUCUCCUUUCCUUUAAUUUCAGUUUUUCUUUAAGCUCAGAUUCUUGAAACUCUUAAAGCACAUUUCUCUUGAAUUUGUCCUUUAAAAUUUUUCAGUUAAUUAUGCACGAUUUUGUGAAUGUAC
rnacentral:lncRNA from 1 species